UGUAUUUAAGAGUAGUAUGACAAGCAAUAGGCUGCUUAGAGGCAGCCCUAAAUCGUGUAACACUAUCUCUCUACAUUGUAACACUUUGGUUGAACACAAGUAAAGAAGAGAGAGCUACACGAAAUUGAUAAGAGCUUGUCUUUUCUUAUUGAUGUGUUAACCUUUACAAUGAGAUUACAAGGCUUUAUAUAGAAGGAGAACUAAGUUAAGAUGUCUCACAAUUCCCUUUAAUCCUAGCCCUUCUUUUCUCUCUUUAAAUCUCCACCAUUGAAUUCAAAAUAGCUUCUAGAAGGUUGUGGUCCUCUUUUGUCUUCUAGAAGGUUGUGGUCCAACUUUGACCAAGACCAAGUUUGAAUUUGAGUCUCCUUCCUUUGUCUCCAACGGCUCUUAGGUCUUCUAGAAGGUCUCUCAUGGGCUUCUCUUAUGUGACACCAAUCUUGCACAUUAUUAUCUUCACUAGGUGACACGAGUUUUGCACAUUCUUGUAUUCUUGCAUAGACUUCAUUUUGCAUCCUCGGUCUUGAUACUUUUGACACCAAUUAUGCACAUUAGGUCAUGAUAACUUUGACACUAAUUUUGCACAUUGGGUCUUGAUAACUUUGACACCAAUUUUGCACAUUGGUGUCUCGUCUUCGGCCUUGUCUUGAGAUCUUCGGCCUUGACUCGUCUUAUGUGUUUACACCAAUUUUGCACUUCGGUGUCUUGGUGACUUUACACCAAUUUUGCACUUCCGGCCUUCAUACCUUGAAGUGACCCGAGCUUUGCACGGCUAUCUUAUGGAGAUCUUUCUCUUCACUUGGUUCAAUAUGUGUUACAUAUUUAUACACAAAGUAGAAGAGACAAAUUGUCUCAUUUCUAGACCUAAAUCCAACGGUCAUAUCUACCAAAACGUCCACAAGAUGUAGAUCGUGUGGCUUAGAGUGAUUUGGACCAUUCUAGAAGGUGAUGGCUCCAAAAUAUCUUCCCACUUGUUGCUUUUCCUCAAAACGCAACAUGUGGCUCUUAGGAGAGAGAGGAGCGUCCUUGAUGAUGUCCCAUGUGGUCCUCCUUGCAAGUUGCUUGCUUUCCUAUCCACAUGAGACUCCUUUUGGCGCUUAAACGCAUUUGAAUCUCGGGCUACUAAGUGUGAUUGGUUUGACACCAAUUUUGCACAUCUUUAUCUUCGACCCGGACUUUGCACAUUCUCCUCUUGACUUUACACGAACUUUGCACACUCGGUUCUUGAUCGACCCAAACAUUGCACGUCCGCUACUUGAUCAUCUUACACGGAUUUUGCACAUCCGGUCUUGAUAAUCUUUUGACACCAAUUAUGCACAUUAGGUCAUGAUAACUUUGACACUAAUUUUGCACAUUGGUGUUUCGUCUUCGGCCUUGUCUUGAGAGCAUCGGCCUUGACUCUUCUUACGAGAUUACACCAAUUUUGCACUUCGGUGUCUUGGUGACUUUACACCAAUUUUGCACCUUCUUCUCUUGAUGUUCUUCUAAGUGACCCAAACUUUGCACGGCUAUGAUCAAACCACCGGAUGUCUUCUAGCUUCUUUCAUCGCUUCUUCUCAUCCGGUUCACUACCUUUCAUGGCUUGUGCUCAUUAGGUUUAAUAUUGAGAAGCAAUAAGAAGCUUGGUUAGUGUUUUUGGAGUCAAAUAUGACUAGAUCUAGUGUUUUUGAUUGGACUAUAACCGCGCAACCGGAUCUCAAAAGAUAAAGUAGUGUUUUUCCAUUUAGAAGCUCCAAACCAGAAAACUCAUAGGACUUUGGCCACACCCACAAAGAUUUGAGAGGCAAUAAAAAGCUUGGUUAGUGUUUUUGGAGUCAAAUAUGACUAGAUCUAGUGUUUAUGAUUGGGUAUAAGAACUAUAACCGCAACCGGAUCCCAAAAGAUAAAGUAGUGUUUUUCCAUUUAGAAGCUCCAACACAGAAAACUCAUAGGACUUCGGCCACACCCACAAUGAUUUGAGAAGCUAUAGGAAGCUUGGUUAGUGUUUUUGGAGUCAAAUAUGACUAGAUCUCGUGUUUAUGAUUGGGUAUAAGAACUAGAACCGCAACCGGAUCCCAAAAGCUAAAAUAGUGUUUUUCCAUUUAGAAGCUCCAAAACAGAAAACUCAUAGGACUUUGGCCACACCCACAAAGAUUUGAGAGGCAAUAAAAAGCUUGGUUAGUGUUUUUGGAGUCAAAUAUGACUAGAUCUAGUGUUUAUAAUUGGGUAUAAGAACUAUAACCGCAACCGGAUCCCAAAAGAUAAAGUAGUGUUUUCCAUUUAGAAGCUCCAAACNNNNNNNNNNNNNNNNNNNNNNNNNNNNNNNNNNNNNNNNNNNNNNNNNNNNNNNNNNNNNNNNNNNNNNNNNNNNNNNNNNNNNNNNNNNNNNNNNNNNNNNNNNNNNNNNNNNNNNNNNNNNNNNNNNNNNNNNNNNNNNNNNNNNNNNNNNNNNNNNNNNNNNNNNNNNNNNNNNNNNNNNNNNNNNNNNNNNNNNNNNNNNNNNNNNNNNNNNNNNNNNNNNNNNNNNNNNNNNNNNNNNNNNNNNNNNNNNNNNNNNNNNNNNNNNNNNNNNNNNNNNNNNNNNNNNNNNNNNNNNNNNNNNAACCGGAUCCCAAAAGCUAAUGUAGUGUUUUUCCAUUUAGAAGCUCCAAAACAGAAAAUUCAUAGGACUUCUGCCACAGCCACAAAGAUUGGAGAAGCAAUAAGAAGCUUGGUUAGUGUUUUUGGAGUCAAAUAUCACUAGAUCUAGUGUUUAUGAUUGGACUAUAACCGCAACCGGAUCCCAAAAGAUAAAGUAGUGUUUUUCCAUUUAGAAGCUCCAAACCAGAAAACUCAUAGGACUUUGGCAACACCCACAAAGAUUUGAGAGGCAAUAAAAAGCUUGGUUAGUGUUUUUGGAGUCAAAUAUGACUAGAUCUAGUGUUUAUGAUUGGGUAUAAGAACUAUAACCGCAACCGGAUCCCAAAAGAUAAAGUAGUGUUUUUCCAUUUAGAAGCUCCAACACAGAAAACUCAUAGGACUUCGGCCACACCCACAAUGAUUUGAGAAGCUAUAGGAAGCUUGGUUAGUGUUUUUGGAGUCAAAUAUGACUAGAUCUCGUGUUUAUGAUUGGGUAUAAGAACUAGAACCGCAACCGGAUCCCAAAAGCUAAAAUAGUGUUUUUCCAUUUAGAAGCUCCAAAACAGAAAACUCAUAGGACUUUGGCCACACCCACAAAGAUUUGAGAGGCAAUAAAAAGCUUGGUUAGUGUUUUUGGAGUCAAAUAUGACUAGAUCUAGUGUUUAUGAUUGGGUAUAAGAACUAUAACCGCAACCGGAUCCCAAAAGAUAAAGUAGUGUUUUUCCAUUUAGAAGCUCCAAACCAGAAAACUCAUAGGACUUUGGCCACACCCACAAAGAUUUGAGAAGCAAUAAGAAGCUUGGUUAGUGUUUUUGGAGUCAAAUAUGACUAGAUCUAGAGUUUAUGAUUGGGUAUAGGAACUAGAACCGCAACCGGAUCCCAAAAGCUAAAGUAGUGUUUUUCGGUUUAGAAGCUCCAACACAGAAAACUCAUAGGACUUCGGCCACACCCACAAAGAUUUGAGAAGCAAUAAGAAGCUUAGUUAGUGUUUUUGGAGUCAAAUAUGACUAGAUCUCGUGUUUUUUAUUGGGUAUAAGAACUAGAGCCGCAACCGGAUCCCAAAAGCUAAUAUAGUGUUUUUCCAUUUAGAAGCUCCAAAACAGAAAAUUCAUAGGACUUCUGCCACACCCACAAAGAUUGGAGAAGCAAUAAGAAGCUUGGUUAGUGUUUUUGGAGUCAAAUAUCACUAGAUCUAGUGUUUAUGAUUGGACUAUAACCGCAACCGGAUCCCAAAAGAUAAAGUAGUGUUUUUCCAUUUAGAAGCUCCAAACCAGAAAACUCAUAGGACUUUGGCCACAGCCACAAAGAUUUGAGAGGCAAUAAAAAGCUUGGUUAGUGUUUUUGGAGUCAAAUAUGACUAGAUCUAGUGUUUAUGAUUGGGUAUAAGAACUAUAACCGCAACCGGAUCCCAAAAGAUAAAGUAGUGUUUUUCCAUUUAGAAGCUCCAACACAGAAAACUCAUAGGACUUCGGCCACACCCACAAUGAUUUGAGAAGCUAUAGGAAACUUGGUUAGUGUUUUUGGAGUCAAAUAUGACUAGAUCUCGUGUUUAUGAUUGGGUAUAAGAACUAGAACUGCAACCGGAUCCCAAAAGCUAAAAUAGUGUUUUUCCAUUUAGAAGCUCCAAAACAGAAAACUCAUAGGACUUUGGCCACACCCACAAAGAUUUGAGAGGCAAUAAAAAGCUUGGUUAUUGUUUUUGGAGUCAAAUAUGACUAGAUCUAGUGUUUAUGAUUGGGUAUAAGUAUUGAACCAAUUAAUCAAGAGAAGUCAUCCGGGUCAAGAAGGAUCAUGAUGAAAGUGUUCUAUCUAGACUCGACAUAAAGUCGAGACCGUCCGUACACAUGAAGUCGAGACUGUCCGUACAAGACAAGGAGAGGCCGUCCGUACGAAGUUGUGCUCGGCCCAUUGGGAUCCUCAUAAGCCUCUUAGGCUUACCCAAAUGGUUCAUCUCCAAGAGUCUUCUAGAAGCAUCCGGAUCCUUCUCCAUGGAGCCGUUGAGCGUUCAAAAGAAAGAAGAGGACGCGGUUUGCUUUUGACGUGGAGGAUUGCUUUUACUUUAUGACCGUUGUACACAUACCAAAAGUAGCAUAUCCUUAGAGCAUAUUCUUUUUGUAAAGCCCUUUAAAAGGGAACCUAGUAUUUACCAAAUUAAGUAAGAAGAGAUAAUCUCUCUCUUUCUCAUCAUCAAAUCUCUUUCUCUCAAAUCUCUCAAUCUCAUUUCCGCAUACUAGUCCCAUUCUCGCAACCUAAACUCCACAAUCUUUCAUGGUAUCAGAGCCAUAAAGCUCCACAUACUCUAUUCUCCGAAAUUCUCCUUGCAAAUCUUCUUCUUCUUCUCCAAUCUUCAUUCUCUUUUCGAUUCAGUCUUUGCUCACCAUGGAGAACACCAAGAUUCGUGCUCCAGUCACCCUCAAAGGAGGAAACUACUUGCUUUGGGCAAGAACCAUGAAGACCAUCUUGUGCGGUCGUGGAUUCUGGCCUCACAUCAUCAAGAGUGAAGCGCCAAGAGAGACAACCACGAACGAAGAUGGCUUGGAGAUCGCCCUUGUUGAUGAAGACAAGUGGUUCCAAGAAGACCAAAUGGUCUUAUCCGUUCUCCAAAACUCGCUUGAAGCAUCAAUCCUUGAAGGAUACUCCUAUUGUGAGACUCCCAAGGAUCUUUGGGAAACUUUGCAAAAUGUCUUUGGAAACCAAUCCAACCUAAGCCGUGUGUUUGAGAUCAAGAAGGCCAUCAACGAGCUGACCCAAGGAGACAUGGAGUUUACUCAACACUUUGGGAAGUUUCGGUCCCUUUGGGCAGAGCUUGAGAUGUUGAGACCCAGCACCCUUGAUCCGGCGGUCAUCAAUGAGAGGCGUGAGCAAGACAAGGUCUUUGGUCUACUCUUUACCUUGAGUCCGGCGUACAACGAUCUCAUCAAGCAUCUCCUCCGUGCCGACAAGCUCCAGAACCUUGAAGAAGUGUGUUCUCAAAUCCAAAAGGAGCAAGGAUCUCUCGGGCUGUUUGGUAGCAAAGGAGAGCUGGUCUCGGGCAACUCAAGUGAACUCGCAUCCGCCAACCGUGGGAAUUUCAAUGCCAACCGCGGGAAAGCUCCAUGGUGUGAUCAUUGCAAACGGAGUGGACAUGCCAAAGAGAAGUGCUGGAUCCUUCACCCUCACCUCAAACCAGCAAGAAGGGAGCCAAGAGCUAACCAAGCUACCGGAGGGAACCUUGGAGGCCAAGAGCAAGCCGGAGCAUCAAGUCAAGCCUUGGGAGGAAACAAAGCUGCAAUGAUGGCUUCUUCCGACCUAGUGAGACGCUCCGACCUCGAUGCACUCAUCAAGGCUCUCAAAGAGUCUUCCGGUAACGCUUAUCAUGCUCUUAGUGCUUUAAAACCUCUUAUUGUUGAUUCGGGAGCCUCUCACCAUAUGAUUAGUGACUCUAAAUUGAUGAACAACAUUGAACCGGCUUUAGGAAAUGUCAUAAUUGCUAAUGGUGAUAAGAUUCCGGUUAAAGGAGUAGGAGACUUAGAAUUGUUUAGCAAAAAGUCUAAAGCUUUCUAUAUGCCUACUUUCACUUCGAACUUGUUAUCCGUUAAGAAAGCUACUACCGACCUUAAUUGCUAUGCUAUCUUUGGUCCUAAUGAUGUUCAUUUUAAGGAUAUUGAGACUAGUAGAGUGCUUGGUCAUGGAGGUACAAAGGAUGGUCUUUAUGUUCUUGAAGAUACAAAGCUUUCUACUCCUCUAUCUUCUCACUUUAGCUCAAUUCUUGUUAAUGCGAAUAAUGCUAUUUGGCAUGCUAGAUUAGGUCAUCCUCAUUCUCGUGCUUUAGGUCUUUUGUUACCAAGUAUUUCCUUUAAGAAUAAUGAAUGUGAGGCUUGUAUUCUUGGUAAACAUUGCCAAUCCGUAUUUCCCAAGUCUAGUACUAUUUAUGAGAAUUGUUUUGAUUUGAUUCAUUCGGAUGUUUGGACUUCACCUUGUUUAUCUAGAGAAAAUCAGAAAUACUAUGUCACAUUCAUUGAUGAGAAGUCUAAAUAUACUUGGUUAACUUUGUUACCUUCUAAAGAUAGAGUUCUUGAGGCUUUUAUCAACUUUCAAAACUAUGUCACUAACCAUUACAAUGCCAAGAUCAAAAUCUUUAGGUCCGAUAAUGGUGGUGAAUAUACAAGUCAUGCCUUCAAGCAACAUUUGGCCAAGCACGGGAUAAUCCAUCAAACAAGCUGCCCUUAUACACCACAACAAAACGGAGUAGCGGAGAGGAAGAAUAGGCAUCUCAUGGAAGUGGCAAGAUCGAUGAUGUUCCACACCAAUGUUCCUAAACGUUUUUGGAGUGAUGCGGUGGUCCUAGCUUGUUACUUGAUCAACCGGACACCAACCAAGAUCCUACAAGAUUCCUCUCCCUUUGAGGUACUUAACAAGAAUAAAUCGUCUAUCAAUCACUUACGUGUGUUUGGUUGUGUUUGCUUUGUCCUUAUAGGUUAACAAAGAAACAAACUCGAACCUAAGAGUGUCAAGGGCAUGUUUAUCGGGUACUCAAUUACACAAAAAGGAUACAAGUGCUAUAUACCGGAAACAAGGAAGGUUCUUGUUUCAAGAGAUGUGAAGUUUGUUGAGGGUAAAGGCUACUAUGAAGAAAAGAAUUGGGAAGACAUUCAAGAUCUCACCCAUUCACCUUCGGAUAGAGCUAGCAACCUCCGAAUUAUCUUGGAAAGACUUGGUGUAAGCAACUCUCAAAGUCACACCAACUCACCAAAUCCUAAUCCGGAGCCUACUCAACAACAAGAAACAUCACAACAUGAGGAAGAAGAACAUUUACAAGACGAAGAAAAUAUUCAAGAAGACAAUCUUGAAGAAGGAGAGAUUCCAAGUGAUCAUGAGGAAGAGACUACUUUAUCCGAAGAGGAGAAUUUGUCUACAUCGGAUCAUAAUGAAGGCUCUACAUCCCAAGAAGCGCCUAAUGAAGGCUCUACAUCCCAAGAAGCGCCUAUAGCCCUAAGAAGAAGUCAAAGACAGAAGUUCCCUCCAUCAAAUUGGAAGAACACUCGGGUUUACUACAAUAGUCAAGCCGUGGCUCAUCCUAUUCAAGCCGUGUGUACCAUUGCUCAUUUUCCCGAAGAACAUCAAGUCUUCCUUGGACAAAUUGACCAACAUUGGAUCCCUCAAACCUAUGAAGAAGCUAUCCAACAUCAAGUAUGGAGAGAAGCUAUAGCCGCCGAAAGACAAGCUAUGGAACAUAACCAUACUUGGGAAGAAGGAGAGUUACCUAAAGGCAAGAGAGCUGUGACAUCCAAGUGGGUCUUCACUAUCAAGUACAAGAGCAAUGGGGACAUUGAACGCUACAAAGCUAGGCUUGUUGCAAGAGGGUUCACUCAAACGUAUGGGGUGGAUUACUUGGAUACGUUUGCCCCGGUUGCAAAGCUCCAUACGGUUAGAGUGGUUCUCUCUCUAGCUACCAACUUGGAGUGGGAACUUUGGCAAAUGGAUGUUAAGAAUGCCUUCCUUCAAGGAGAACUUGAAGAAGAAGUCUACAUGAAGCCACCACCGGGUCUUGAAGAUCAUAAUGCACCCGGGAAGGUUUUUAAACUCAAGAAAGCUAUCUAUGGUUUGAAGCAAUCCCCGAGAGCUUGGUACCACAAGCAUAGCACAACCUUGCUGGAAAGAGGAUUCAAGAAGUCGGAAGCCGACAACACUCUCUUCACUCUCCCAAGCAAGGAAGGUAUAGUAGUCAUUCUCGUUUAUGUAGAUGAUAUUAUCAUCUCCGGGAAUGACAAGGUAGGGAUUCAAGAGACUAAAACCUUUCUUAAGAGUGUUUUUGAUAUAAAAGACCUUGGUGAACUAAAGUACUUCCUUGGGAUAGAAGUUUGUAGAUCAAAGGAAGGUCUCUUCUUAUCUCAAAGGAAGUACACCCUUGAUCUUCUUAGUCAAGUAGGUAAGCUUGGAGCAAAACCGGCUAAGACUCCCUUGGAAGAUGACUACAAGGCCAAUCGUAAGGGGGAGCUUGACAACAAGCCUUUCGAAGAUGUCACACAAUAUCGAAGACUUGUAGGUAAGCUCAUUUAUUUAACCAUUACUAGGCCUGACAUUUGCUUUGCUGUGAAUGUAGUAAGUCAACACAUGCAAGCUCCCACGCUACAUCAUUGGAACAUGGUGAACCGCAUCCUCAAAUAUCUCAAAGGAGCUCCGGGUCAAGGCAUUUGGAUGGGAUGCAACAACAACACGGAGCUGGUGGGAUAUUGUGAUGCGGACUAUGCUGGAGACAAGAAGGAUAGGAGGUCCACCACCGGCUAUUGCACAUUCAUUGGUGGCAACCUAGUUACUUGGAGAAGCAAGAAGCAAAAGGUGGUCUCCCUUUCAAGUUGUGAAGCCGAGUACCAGGCCAUGAGAAAGCUCACAACUGAACUUAUGUGGUUGAAAGCUCUCCUCAAAGACUUUGGAAUUGACACACCAAAGCCAAUCACCAUGCAUUGCGACAAUCAAGCCGCCAUUCACAUCGCCUCAAAUUCAGUGUUCCAUGAAAGAACGAAGCACAUUGAGGUGGAUUGUCACAAGGUCAGAGAACAAGUUCAACUUGGAGUAAUCCUACCUUGCUACACCGAUACUGAAGAACAAUUGGCCGACAUCUUCACCAAAGGAGCUAGCACCAAAGUUUGUGAGUACAUUCAUCACAAACUUGGCCUCGUUGACAUCUCUCGGCCAUGAUCCUCUUAGCCAAAUAUCCCAUACUCUUUUUCCCUAAGUGUGGUUUUAUCCCAUGAGGUUUUCUACACUUAGGUUUUUAAUGAGGUGGUUGAAUUUGGAUCCAAGUCUAACCUCCAUUCCUCUCCGGUUAGACUUGAGGGGGAGUAUUGAACCAAUUAAUCAAGAGAAGUAAUCCGGGUCAAGAAGGAUCAUGAUGAAAGUGUUCUAUCUAGACUCGACAUAAAGUUGAGACCGUCCGUACACAUGAAGUCGAGACUGUCCGUACAAGACAAGGAGAGGCCGUCCGUACGAAGUUGUGCUCGGCCCAUUGGGAUCCUCAUAAGCCUCUUAGGCUUACCCAAAUGGUUCAUCUCCAAGAGUCUUCUAGAAGCAUCCGGAUCCUUCUCCAUGGAGCCGUUGAGCGUUCAAAAGAAAGAAGAGGACGCGGUUUGCUUUUGACGUGGAGGAUUGCUUUUACUUUAUGACCGUUGUACACAUACCAAAAGUAGCAUAUCCUUAGAGCAUAUUCUUUUUGUAAAGCCCUUUAAAAGGGAACCUAGUAUUUACCAAAUUAAGUAAGAAGAGAUAAUCUCUCUCUUUCUCAUCAUCAAAUCUCUUUCUCUCAAAUCUCUCAAUCUCAUUUCCGCAUACUAGUCCCAUUCUCGCAACCUAAACUCCACAAUCUUUCAAUAAGAACUAUAACCGCAACCGGAUCCCAAAAGAUAAAGUAGUGUUUUUCCAUUUAGAAGCUCCAAACCAGAAAACUCAUAGGACUUCUGCCACACCCACAAAGAUUUGAGAAGCAAUAAGAAGCUUGGUUAGUGUUUUUGGAGUCAAAUAUGACUAGAUCUCGUGUUUAUGAUUGGGUAUAAGAACUAGAACCGCAACUGGAUCCCAAAAGCUAACAUAGUGUUUUUCCGUUUAGAAGCUCCAACACAGAAAACUCAUAGGACUUCGGCCACACCCACAAAGAUUUGAGAAGCAAUAAGAAGCUUGGAUAGUGUUUUUGGAGUCAAAUAUGACUAGAUCUAGUGUUUAUGAUUGGGUAUAAGAACUAUAACCGCAACCGGAUCCCAAAAGAUAAAGUAGUGUUUUUCCAUUUAGAAGCUCCAAACCAGAAAACUCAUAGGACUUUGGCCACACCCACAAAGAUUUGAGAGGCAAUAAAAAGCUUGGUUAGUGUUUUUGGAGUCAAAUAUGACUAGAUCUAGUGUUUAUGAUUGGGUAAAAGAACUAUAACCGCAACCGGAUCCCAAAAGAUAAAGUAGUGUUUUUCCAUUUAGAAGCUCCAACACAGAAAACUCAUAGGACUUCGGCCACACCCACAAUGAUUUGAGAAGCUAUAGGAUGCUUGGUUAGUGUUUUUGGAGUCAAAUAUGACUAGAUCUCAUGUUUAUGAUUGGGUAUAAGAACUAGAACCGCAACCGGAUCCCAAAAGCUAAAAUAGUGUUUUUCCAUUUAGAAGCUCCAAAACAGAAAACUCAUAGGACUUUGGCCACACCCACAAAGAUUUGAGAGGCAAUAAAAAGCUUGGUUAGUGUUUUUGGAGUCAAAUAUGACUAGAUCUAGUGUUUAUGAUUGGGUAUAAGAACUAUAACCGCAACCGGAUCCCAAAAGAUAAAGUAGUGUUUUUCCAUUUAGAAGCUCCAAACCAGAAAACUCAUAGGACUUUGUGUAAGAAUAUGCGGAAGAUUAAGAGUAUUUUGAGAGAUUAGUGAAGAACAAGAGAGAGAGUAUGAGACACAUUUCGCAAAUAGGGUAAGAUUGAUUAGAAUAGGAUAGUUUUCUCUUUGUGUGUUUACAUCUAUUUAAGGACACACAAAGAGUAUAGAUCCGUUACACAUGAUCCAAGGGACAAUGACAUAAAGUAAAGUUCCUUGUCUUGACAUGAGAAAGCGACCUCCCCUUCCUUAUCUCCUUAUCCACUUGCGCUCCAACGGCUCUCUUGAUUUAGGACGGAGAGAGAUGCUUCUAGAUCCUUCCCAUGGGCUUUCUUUAAGGCCUUCACUCUUCAUGGAUUCGUGUAACACCUCCAGCCCACACGCACACCUUUGUACGGACAUGUACGGAUGGGAUUGUACGGACAUGUACGGAUGGGUGCUUUACUCUUCGUUUCUUGAUCAAUACUCCCCCUCAAGCUUAGACUUAUGGAAUAGUUUAAGCUUGGAAACUCAUGAACAUCACCUCAUUAAAAACCUUAGUAAAGAAAACCGCAUGGGACAAAACUUUACUAAGGGAAAAAGAGUGUGAUAUUCACGAGCUAAGAGGACUUGAGAUCAAGAGUCGGUGAGGUCCACAAGUCCUAGUUUGCUAUUGAUGAAGUUGCAAACCUUGAGACUUGCGGCCUUGGUGAAGAUGUCCGCCAAUUGGUCUUCACUUCUUGUGUAACAUGGUAGAGUAACCCCUUGAACAAUCUUCUCUCGGACUUUAUGGCAAUCUACUUCAAUGUGUUUUGUUCUCUCAUGAAACACCGAGUUUGAUGCUAUGUAGAUCGCGGCUUUGUUGUCACAAUGCAUGGUGAUUGGUGUGUCUUGUUCAACCCUUAGAUCCUUGAGAAGAGCCUUGAGCCAAGUUAGUUCAUUUGUAAGUUGCUUCAUGGCUCUAUAUUCCGACUCCGCGCUUGAGCAUGAGACCACCUUUUGCUUCUUAGUCUUCCAUGUAACCAAAUUUCCACCAAGGAAUGUGCAAUAGCCGGUUGUAGAUCUUCUAUCCAUUCUAUCUCCAGCAUAAUCCGCAUCACAAUAGCCUACCAACUCGGUGUUUGAGUUCUUUCCCAUCCAAAUGCCUUGGCCGGAGCUUCCCUUGAGAUAUCGGAGUAUCCUCUCUACCAUGCUCCAAUGAUACACCGUAGGUGCUUGCAUAUGUUGACUCACCUGAUUCACAGCAAAACAUAUAUAUGGCCGUGUAUUAGUCAAGUAUAUCAACUUACCCACAAGCUUGCGAUAGAGUGGUGCAUCGUUGAACUUCUCAUCCUCUUUCUCCCCCUUUCGAUCGACCUUGUAGCCUUCUUCUAGUGGAGUCUUGGCUGGUUUAGCAUUCUCAUAACCUGUCUCAUUUAACAAAUCACGAGUGUACUUUCUUUGAGAUAAGAAGAGGCCCUCGGGUGAGCGACAUACUUCUAUCCCAAGAAAGUACUUAAGUUCACCGAGAUCUUUAAUAUCAAAGGUAGACUUGAGAAAGGUCUUAGUAGUGUUGAUACCUUCCUUGUUGUCUCCGGAGAUGAUAAGAUCAUCCACAUAAAUGAGAACAACAACUAUACCUUGAGGACUUUGGAGAGUGAAUAAUGUAUGAUCAGAUUCGGACUUCUUGAAGCCAUGGUCUUUAAGUGUUCGGCUCAAUUUGUGGUACCAUGCCCUUGGUGACUGUUUCAAACCAUAUAUGGCUUUGCGAAGUCUCCACACCUUUCCCGGGUCAAUUGUGUCUUCUAGUCCCGGUGGAGGAGUCAUGUAUACAUCAUCUUCAAGCUCUCCUUGAAGAAAUGCAUUCUUUACAUCCAUUUGCCAUAACUCCCAAGAAAGAUUAGUGGCUAGAGAUAGAACUACCCGAACCGUAUGGAGUUUUGCAACCGGUGCAAAGGUCUCCUUGUAGUCAGCUCCAUAGGUUUGUGAGAAUCCUCGAGCCACUAGCCUCGCCUUAUACCUCUCUAUGUCCCCAUUACUCUUGUAUUUGAUUGUGAAGAUCCAUCUUGAGCUAACCGUUUUCUUCCCGGAGGGUAGUUCUUCCUCAUCCCAAGUGUGAUUGCGAGUCAUUGCUCCAAUCUCUUCUUGAAUCGCAUCACGCCAUUCCUUUACUUGCAUUGCCUCCUCAUAAGUUUGUGGAAUCUUGUUUGAAGAGAUUUUGCUUAGGAAGACUUGAUGAUCUUGUGGCACAAGGGCGAGAGAACAUGUUGCUUGAAUUGGGUGAGCUACGGCUUGUUGGUUGAAAUAAACCCUUGUAUUCUUCCAAUUGGAUGGAGGAAAUUUUAACCUUUCACUUCUUCUUAAUGGUUGAGUAGGUCUUUGUUCAACUUGAGUAGCUUCCUCAUCUUCACUAGAAUCGCUUGAGUCAUCUAGGGAUUGAGUCUCUUGAACUUGACAUGUAGCUUCCUGAUCUUGGGAAGGACUAUUGUGGUCACUAUGAGCUCUUUCUCCGUCUUCUUCAUCAUUAGACUCGGUACUUGAAGUUGGUGCUUGGUCUUGUUGAUUUGGGUCAUGACUCGAUUGAGGAGGGUCAUCAUGACUUGGUGGAAUGGAGUUCUGGCCCGGUUGAGUACUCGUCGUUGAUGUUGGAGCUUUGUUUCCCAAAUGGUCCAAUAGAAAUCUAAGACUUGUAGCACGGUCGGAUGGAGAAUGGGCUAGAUCUUUAAGACUCUCCCAAUCUUUCUUGUCAUGAUAUCCUUGAUCUUCAAGGAAUUUUACAUCUCUUGAUACAUAUGUUCGGUUGUUCGCCGGAUCAUAGCAUUUGUAACCCUUUUGUGUUGUGGAGUAUCCAAGGAACAUACACCGAGUACUCUUCGCAUCGAGUUUAUUCCUUUGUUCUCCGGGUACUAAAACAAAACACACACAACCAAACACUCUUAGGUGAUCAAUAGAAGGUUUAGUGUUGUUUAGUACCUCAAAUGGGGAUAAGUCUCCCAAGAUUUUUGUUGGUGUCCGGUUGAUAAGUAUUAGAGUGUAUGAAGAAAAGGAGAGAGAGGCCGAAGAGGCCGAGCCUUCUCCAAGAAAGAGAAGAAGAAUAAGAAAGGAUUCAAGGCCGAAGUCAUGAAGACAAGGCCGAAGAUCUCACCAAGUCACGAAUGUGCAAGAUUCGUGUAAAGUCACCGAGACACUGAAUAUUAGAGUGUAUGAAGAAAAGGAGAGAUGAUAAGAAUCUCCCAAGGAGUCGGCACUCUAAGACGGUGAAUAGAUAUUCCUUAGGUUCAACGGACGGUGAAGCCACGAAGAACAAGGAUGGUGGAGCGAAUGGUCACACAAGAGCUGCGGAAGACUCUUGAUUUGCCGAACUUGAAUUCCUUAGAUAUGACACAGUAAGACGAAUUCAAGGCUGAAAAUGAGAAUCACUUUCGACAAGACCCCCUGGAUAUGACGCACCAAGACAGAUCAUGUAUUGAUCAAUGGACACACCAUUAACCAAACCAAUGGAUAUUACACACCAUUGACGAAAAAUGAAAACUCACUCUCAAAGGAUUCCAAAAAUAUCAAAAAGGCUUAUUCUUUAUUCAUGAGAUGAACCUCAUUAUAUAGAGGAACUACAACAAAUUCGUCCACAAUAGUUUCUUAACAUGCAAAGCAUCUAGGGAAAUGAAAUUCAAACUCUAAAGUGCAUGUAAGAGAGAGAAAUCGACAGAAUUAAAUGCAGUCUUUGCUAUGGACGAAAUUUGAUCUUCCUUGAUUAUUUUUGGGCUGAAUCCACUUUGCUGGGCUUCUAUAAUGGACCAAGAUUGUAGAACAAGUCAGUUUGUAGCUUAGUUCAUUCUGGUCUAGUCGGAAUUCUUCAUUGAAUGCGCGAAGGUCCGAAUCUGGUAAACUGGAGAACACCUGAUUUGUAAAUUGAAUAACUCCUUUGUUUGAUCUCCUUUUGCUUUGAUUCUUCUUCGAGGAGUUCCAUAGUUGAGCUGAGCACAUUCUCCAAGUAGUUUCGUGCUUUGAUUCCUUGUCAUUCGGAAGAUACACUUCAAAAACUGAACACAUAUCCUGAUGCUUCCCAUUAUCAUAUCAUACUCUCCCUCUUGAAAAAGGAUUUGACCUCAAAUCCGGCUACUGUUCUUCUUCUUUUCUUUUUUUUUGAGAAAAAUAAAGGAAUAAAAAUAAAAAAGAAAUACAAGAUGAAGAGAUGAGGAGAUGAAUGAAAGAAGAUGGAGAGAAGAGAAGAUGAUAGAAUGAUAGAAUGAUAGACCGAGCUUAGAGUGUUGCUCUGAUACCAAAUGAUAAGAAUCUCCCAAGGAGUCGGCACUCUAAGACGGUGAAUAGAUAUUCCUUAGGUUCAACGGACGGUGAAGCUACGAAGAACAAGGAUGGUGGAGCGAAUGGUCACACAAGAGCUGCGGAAGACUCUUGAUUUACCGAACUUGAAUUCCUUAGAUAUGACACAGUAAGACGAAUUCAAGGCUGAAAAUGAGAAUCACUUUCGACAAGACCCCCUGGAUAUGACGCACCAAGACAGAUCAUGUAUUGAUCAAUGGACACACCAUUAACCAAACCAAUGGAUAUUACACACCAUUGACGAAAAAUGAAAACUCACUCUCAAAGGAUUCCAAAAAUAUCAAAAAGGCUUAUUCUUUAUUCAUGAGAUGAACCUCAUUAUAUAGAGGAACUACAACAAAUUCGUCCACAAUAGUUUCUUAACAUGCAAAGCAUCUAGGGAAAUGAAAUUCAAACUCUAAAGUGCAUGUAAGAGAGAGAAAUCGACAGAAUUAAAUGCAGUCUUUGCUAUGGACGAAAUUUGAUCUUCCUUGAUUAUUUUUGGGCUGAAUCCACUUUGCUGGGCUUCUAUAAUGGACCAAGAUUGUAGAACAAGUCAGUUUGUAGCUUAGUUCAUUCUGGUCUAGUCGGAAUUCUUCAUUGAAUGCGCGAAGGUCCGAAUCUGGUAAACUGGAGAACACCUGAUUUGUAAAUUGAAUAACUCCUUUGUUUGAUCUCCUUUUGCUUUGAUUCUUCUUCGAGGAGUUCCAUAGUUGAGCUGAGCACAUUCUCCAAGUAGUUUCGUGCUUUGAUUCCUUGUCAUUCGGAAGAUACACUUCAAAAACUGAACACAUAUCCUGAUGCUUCCCAUUAUCAUAUCAAGAGAGAGGCCGAAGAGGCCGAGCCUUCUCCAAGAAAGAGAAGAAGAAUAAGAAAGGAGUCAAGGCCGAAGUCAUGAAGACAAGGCCGAAGAUCUCACCAAGUCACGAAUGUGCAAGAUUCGUGUAAAGUCACCGAGACACCGAAGUGCAAAAUUGGUGUAAACUCAUAAGACGAGUCAAGGCCGAAGAUCUCAAGACAAGGCCGAAGACGAGACACCAAUGUGCAAAAUUGGUGUCAAAGCUAUCAAGACGACCCAAUGUGCAAAAUUAGUGUCAAAGUUAUCAUGACCUAAUGUGCAUAAUUGGUGUCAAAAGUAUCAAGACCGAGGAUGCAAAAUGAAGUCAAUACAUGAAGAUGAGAAUGUGCAAAGUCCGGGUUGAAGAUAAAGAUGUGCAAAAUUGGUGUCAACCCAAUCACACUUAGUAGCCCGAGAUUUGAAUGCGUUUAGGUGCAUCAAAGGAGUCACAUGUGGAGCAACUUGCAAGGAGGACCACAUGUGAGGAAUAGAGCCGUUGGAGAAAGUCACAUGUGGUCCUAAGCUUGAGACAAGAAGAGGAAGGGUCGCUUUCAUCACAAGAGACAAGGGAACCAUCUCUCCUCAUGUCACUUUCACUCUUUAGCUUUGUGUAGAAAACGUUUUCUCCUCUUUGCCUAUUUAAAGGAGAGGCUUCUCAUUGUAAAAUCAACACAUUAAGAAGAGCACAUUAAUAAGAAGAGACAAGUCUUGAUACAAAAACGUUUUAGCUUAAUCUACUUUACUUGUGUUUAACUUAAUGUUAACAAUGUAGAGAGUUAAAGUUAAACCGUUUAGGUCUGCCUUAGGGCAGCCCAUUUCUUGUUAAUCUUACUUAAAUACACCUUAAACUCUUCUUUAUUUAGUCCUUAGACUCUAGAUUACUGAUUCUCAAAUCCUCUUUCUCUUAAGUACACAAACUCUAGUGUUGUGUUACUAGACAAGGAUUAGUCUCAAACUAGAGCUUAUCUCCUUCAUAUAACCGAUUUACUCUCUAGUAUAUUCGGAUAUAUUGUUGGUUAUUUGUGUGGAUUCCAUCACAAGUUGAUGGUCUCUUCCUCUUAAGAACGAGUUCCCUUUAUGUGGGUAAAAGGAGAUUCAAUCACCAAGUGAUUGUCUACUCUCUCUUAUGAGCUUAGUCUCUUAAAUCCUAACAUGGUAUCAUAGCGGUUGCUCUCUUGGAAUCAAGAACUCGUUCUUGUUGCUUUAAAACCACCGGAAAGCUCUUUGUCAUGAGUUAUUUCGGUGAGUUCAUGUCUUUAACCGGUGGGUAGAUGAAUUGCCCAACGGUCCAUAUUGUUUCAGCCAUUAAAGCACCAAAGUCUUGUUGAUUAUUGGAUGCCUUGGUUGUUAAAGCUUCCGCUUAACUCAAGAAAAUAGAGCAAAACUCUAUCCAUUUGAACUCUUGAGCAAAUUCUCUAUUCUCCAUUCUCUUUUAUUUUCUACUAGACUAUGAUUCUCUUUUAAUUCUGCCCAUUCUCUUUAUUUAUACUCUGUUCUAUAUUCUCUAAUCUAUCACCAUCUCUUGUUUAGAAGCUGUCUUAAAUUUUCAGUUUAAAACUUUGAAGAUGGUGGUGAACUCGCUAACUAUCUCAAGAAGAAGUGGUGAGGUUAACAGCUUCAAGAAAGCCACAAGAAGGCACAGCAACCAUAGUGAGGGAGUUAGAACAGUGACCAUCGGUUUUGGAGACCACAAGACAAGCCCAACCUAGUUUAACCGGCUGACUUGGACAUGGCGGACCUAAAGAGGCUGACCGGAGGAAGCAGACCAAAGGUGGCUAUGGUGGAAGUUCUUAGUGGAGAGGCAAGCUGGUGGGACACUUUGAAUCAGCCCCAACACACGUGUGCUAGUGUCAAGAUGAUUGGAUGUGCAUAUGACUUCAAGGAGAGUCAAGCACAAGGUUUCAAGUGGAGAUUGCGGAAAGAUUAAGUCCCAUGAAGACAAAGAUCAAACCGCAUCUCAUUCAAAGUCCUCUUCUUCAAUUCAAAAGGCUACUCUCUAAACCCCCUAUUUCACAUUUUUAUUAAAUUUAUUAAAUCCAUAACCUUAGAACUCUUAAGUCUCUUAUCCGGUUUCUUUAAAAUUUUAUUUAGUGUUUUCUUAAAACCCCACGACAUAUACUUUAAAUGUUUUCUUUGAAUCUCAUGAUUGUGAAGGUUCAAAGGGAAGGGGUAAUGCGUGGAGAUUCUCAAAAGAAGCACAAGAUGAGAUGAAGAAAACCCCUAAGAUGAGAGAUCAAGCAAAGGAGGGCUAAGGAAAUGGAAGUUGCGGUUCAAGACUUGAAGAAAAGGGAGCCGGUUCUAUUCAAUUUCAAACCAAGAUCAUAGCUACAUCAAGGACCGUAAAGACUAUACUCUUUUUCCCUUAACGAGGUUUUAUCCCACGUGGUUUUCCUUGUUAAGGUUUUUAAUGAGGUAGUUCUUUGCGGAUUCCAAGCUUGAUCUUUGGUCCUUUGGUGUCCCGACGCUCAAGCUUGCGGGGGAGUAUUAGAGUGUAUGAAGAAAAGGAGAGAGAGGCCGAAGAGGCCGAGCCUUCUCCAAGAAAGAGAAGAAGAAUAAGAAAGGAGUCAAGGCCGAAGUCAUGAAGACAAGGCCGAAGAUCUCACCAAGUCACGAAUGUGCAAGAUUCGUGUAAAGUCACCGAGACACCGAAGUGCAAAAUUGGUGUAAACUCAUAAGACGAGUCAAGGCCGAAGAUCUCAAGACAAGGCCGAAGACGAGACACCAAUGUGCGAAAUUGGUGUCAAAGCUAUCAAGACGACCCAAUGUGCAAAAUUAGUGUCAAAGUUAUCAUGACCUAAUGUGCAUAAUUGGUGUCAAAAGUAUCAAGACCGAGGAUGCAAAAUGAAGUCAAUACAUGAAGAUGAGAAUGUGCAAAGUCCGGGUUGAAGAUAAAGAUGUGCAAAAUUGGUGUCAACCCAAUCACACUUAGUAGCCCGAGAUUUGAAUGCGUUUAGGCGCAUCAAAGGAGUCACAUGUGGAGCAACUUGCAAGGAGGACCACAUGUGAGGAAUAGAGCCGUUGGAGAAAGUCACAUGUGGUCCUAAGCUUGAGACAAGAAGAGGAAGGGUCGCUUUCAUCACAAGAGACAAGGGAACCAUCUCUCCUCAUGUCACUUUCACUCUUUAGCUUUGUGUAGAAAACGUUUUCUCCUCUUUGCCUAUUUAAAGGAGAGGCUUCUCAUUGUAAAAUCAACACAUUAAGAAGAGCACAUUAAUAAGAAGAGACAAGUCUUGAUACAAAAACGUUUUAGCUUAAUCUACUUUACUUGUGUUUAACUUAAUGUUAACAAUGUAGAGAGUUAAAGUUAAACCGUUUAGGUCUGCCUUAGGGCAGCCCAUUUCUUGUUAAUCUUACUUAAAUACACCUUAAACUCUUCUUUAUUUAGUCCUUAGACUCUAGAUUACUGAUUCUCAAAUCCUCUUUCUCUUAAGUACACAAACUCUAGUGUUGUGUUACUAGACAAGGAUUAGUCUCAAACUAGAGCUUAUCUCCUUCAUAUAACCGAUUUACUCUCUAGUAUAUUCGGAUAUAUUGUUGGUUAUUUGUGUGGAUUCCAUCACAAGUUGAUGGUCUCUUCCUCUUAAGAACGAGUUCCCUUUAUGUGGGUAAAAGGAGAUUCAAUCACCAAGUGAUUGUCUACUCUCUCUUAUGAGCUUAGUCUCUUAAAUCCUAACAAUAAGGUAGCAUGCUGUCAUAACCGCAUCACCCCAAUACCUCCUUGGAACACUUGUAUGGAACAUCAUUGAUCUUGCAACCUCCAUGAGAUGUCGGUUCUUUCUCUCCGCCACUCCAUUUUGUUGUGGUGUGUACGGGCAACUUGUUUGGUGUAAUAUUCCGGACUUGCUUAGGUGCUCUUUCAACUUAAGACUUGUGUACUCUCCUCCAUUGUCGGUCCUAAGUACCUUAAUUUUGGCAUUGAAUUGAUUAGUGACAUAGUUUUGAUAGUUUAUGAAAGCAUCAAAUACUCUAUCCUUAGAAGGCAAGAGAGUUAUCCAUGUGUAUUUUGAUUUCUCAUCAAUGAAUGUGACAAAGUAUUUAUUGUUAUCUCUAGAAACACAUGGUGAUGUCCAAACAUCGGAAUGUACUAAAUCAAAACAAUUCUCAUAUAUAGUAGAGGACUUAGGGAAAACUGAUUUGCAAUGUUUACCAAGGAUACAAGCUUCACAACUAGUAUGAUCAAAAGAUAUACUUGGUAACAUAAGCUUAAGAGCACGAACAUGCGGAUGGCCUAGCCUAGCAUGCCAUAAAACAUUGAAAGAAACACCUAAAUGCGAUUUAAAAGAGAUAGGACUAGAACUAGAACUUGAUGAUAUUCCUUCAAGAACAUAAAGUUCUCCUUUUGAACCACCUUCUCCAAUCAACUUUCCGGUCUCAAUAUCCUGAAAAUACACAUCAUUAGGUCCAAAUAUAGCAUAACAAUUUAGAUCUUUAGUGGCCCUUUUUACCGAUAGUAAAUUAGAGGUAAACUUGGGCAUAUAGAAAGCUUUGGAGUUCUUAUCAAAUACUCUCAAAUUGCCUAUUCCUUUGAUUGGAACUUUAUCACCAUUGGCUAUAAUCACAUUUCCUAGGGCCGGUUCAAUGUUAUUAAGGAGAUUCGAAUUGCUAAUCAUAUGAUGUGAAGCACCCGAAUCAAUAACAAUAGAACUAUCACUAGGUUUAUGGGAAAAGUAGGUGAUACCGUAUUCCUUGAGGGAUGCAAUGGAUUUGAUAAGAGCUUCUAGGUCAGACUUCCUCACAUAAUCCCCGGGUUCCAUCUUGUUCACUUCUCCUCUUGUUUUUGAGCUUCCGGGUUGAUCUUGAUCAUCUUGUCCUUCAAGUGAGAGAUGAGCUUUUGGUUCUUUGAACUUGGCCGGCUUGAGGUGUGGGUGGAGAAUCCAACAUUUAUCUUUGAUGUGGCCUUUCUUCUUGCAAUGUUCACACACCAAGGCUUUUCGUUCAUCGUUUCGGUAUACUCCUUUGUUGGCCACCACUUCUCCUUUGUUUGCCGUAGAAAGUUCACCUUUUCCACCGAAUAGACCGGACGAUCCUUGCUCUUUUUGAAUUUGGGAACAUACUUCAUCGAGACUUGGUAGCUUUUCCGAUCGAAGAAGGUGCUUGAUGAGAUCAUUGUAGCUUGGAUUCAAGGUGAGAAGAAGAGCAAACACCUUAUCUUGUUCCCGGCGUUCAUGGAGAAUCUUUGGAUCAAGAAUACCCGGCCUUAGGCUCUCAAGUUCGGACCAUAAAGAUCUAAACUUUCCAAAAUGUUUUGUGAACUCCAAGUCUUCUUGACUCAGCUCAUUAAUGGCUUUCUUCACUUCAAACACUCGGGUAAGAUUAGACUCAUUACCAUACACAUUUUUAAGUGUAUCCCAUAGCUCCUUUGCCGUUUCACAAUAGGAGUAGCCUUCAAGAAUGGAGGCUUCAAGAGAGUUUUGGAGGAGAGCAAGGACAGUUUGAUCCUCUUGGAACCAUUUGUUUUCCUCGGGAAUGGUUGCUUCCUUCUCUUCCUCUUCUUCUUCGUCGGCAUCUUUUGGAGCUUGGGAUGAUAUUACAUGGCUCCAAAGUCCCCGACCACACAGUACGGUUCUUGUUGUUCUUGACCAAGUCAAGUAGUUCCUCCCUAGGAGAACCACCGAGGUAAUAAGCUUUUUAGGUUUUUCCAUGGCUUGAAAUCACUCGGAUUGAAGAACAAAAAUAUUACCCGCCGGAUAUAGAGAUAAAUUUGCGAAAUCGAGCUAAAAAGAGAAGAAUAGAGAGAAAAAGGCUUUAAAGACAAGAUCUUGCUCUGAUACCAUGUAAGAAUAUGCGGAAAAUUAAGAGUAUUUUGAGAGAUUAGUGAAGAACAAGAGAGAGAGUAUGAGACACAUUUCGCAAAUAGGGUAAGAUUGAUUAGAAUAGGAUAGUUUUCUCUUUGUGUGUUUACAUCUAUUUAAGGACACACAAAGAGUAUAGAUCCGUUACACAUGAUCCAAGGGACAAUGACAUAAAGUAAAGUUCCUUGUCUUGACAUGAGAAAGCGACCUCCCCUUCCUUAUCUCCUUAUCCACUUGCGCUCCAACGGCUCUCUUGAUUUAGGACGGAGAGAGAUGCUUCUAGAUCCUUCCCAUGGGCUUUCUUUAAGGCCUUCACUCUUCAUGGAUUCGUGUAACACCUCCAGCCCACACGCACACCUUUGUACGGACAUGUACGGAUGGGAUUGUACGGACAUGUACGGAUGGGUGCUUUACUCUUCGUUUCUUGAUCAAUACUUUGGCCACACCCACAAAGAUUUGAGAAGCAAUAAGAAGCUUGGUUAGUGUUUUUGGAGUCAAAUAUGACUAGAUCUAGAGUUUAUGAUUGGGUAUAAGAACUAGAACCGCAACCGGAUCCCAAAAGCUAAAGUAGUGUUUUUCCGUUUAGAAGCUCCAACACAGAAAACUCAUAGGACUUCGGCCACACCCAGAAAGAUUUGAGAAGCAAUAAGAAGCUUAGUUAGUGUUGUUGGAGUCAAAUAUGACUAGAUCUCGUGUUUUUUAUUGGGUAUAAGAACUAGAGCCGCAACCGGAUCCCAAAAGCUAAUGUAGUGUUUUUCCAUUUAGAAGCUCCAAAACAGAAAAUUCAUAGGACUUCUGCCACACCCACAAAGAUUGGAGAAGCAAUAAGAAGCUUGGUUAGUGUUUUUGGAGUCAAAUAUGACUAGAUCUAGUGUUUAUGAUUGGACUAUAACCGCAACCGGAUCCCAAAAUAUAAAGUAGUGUUUUUCCAUUUAGAAGCUCCAAACAAGAAAACUCAUAGGACUUUGGCCACACCCACAAAGAUUUUAGAAGCAAUAAGAAGCUUGGUUAGUGUUUUUGGAGUCAAAUAUGACUAGAUCUAGUGUUUAUGAUUGGGUAUAAGAACUAUAACCGCAAUCGGAUCCCAAAAGAUAAAGUAGUGUUUUUCCAUAUAGAAGCUCCAACACAGAAAACUCAUAGGACUUCGGCCACACCCACAAUGAUUUGAGAAGCUAUAGGAAGCUUGGUUAGUGUUUUUGGAGUCAAAUAUGACUAGAUCUCGUGUUUAUGAUUGGGUAUAAGAACUAGAACUGCAACCGGAUCCCAAAAGCUAAAAUAGUGUUUUUCCAUUUAGAAGCUCCAAAACAGAAAACUCAUAGGACUUUGGCCACACCCACAAAGAUUUGAGAGGCAAUAAAAAGCUUGGUUAGUGUUUUUGGAGUCAAAUAUGACUAGAUCUAGUGUUUAUGAUUGGACUAUAACCGCAACCGGAUCCCAAAAGAUAAAGUAGUGUUUUUCCAUUUAGAAGCUCCAAACCAGAAAACUCAUAGGACUUUGGCCACACCCACAAAGAUUUGAGAGGCAAUAAAAAGCUUGGUUAGUGUUUUUGGAGUCAAAUAUGACUAGAUCUAGUGUUUAUGAUUAGGUAUAAGAACUAUAACCGCAACCGGAUCCCAAAAGAUAAAGUAGUGUUUUUCCAUUUAGAAGCUCCAACACAGAAAACUCAUAGGACUUCGGCUACACCCACAAUGAUUUGAGAAGCUAUAGGAUGCUUGGUUAGUGUUUUUGGAGUCAAAUAUGACUAGAUCUCAUCUUUAUGAUUGGGUAUAAGAACUAGAACUGCAACCGGAUCCCAAAAGCUAAAAUAGUGUUUUUCCAUUUAGAAGCUCCAGAACAGAAAACUCAUAGGACUUUGGCCACACCCACAAAGAUUUGAGAGGCAAUAAAAAGCUUGGUUAGUGUUUUUGGAGUCAAAUAUGACUAGAUCUAGUGUUUGAUGUGAUCCUGGAAAGCACCAAGGACAUGGAAUGUAGAAAUGAGCUUGAACCCGUAGAGCAGCACGAAGCAAGGAAUCAGCUUGAACCAGAGGAGCAGCAUGAACCCGAGGAUGAGCUUGUAGCUGCGGAUGUUCUCUUGAAGAAGCUUAUCAAACCACCUUGGAUUGGAGAAAGAGCUAUGUCAAUUGAGUUCAACAAUGGGAGAGUGACUCAAUUGUACUCUUUUUCCCUUGUUGAGUUUUGUCCCAAUGGGUUUUCUCAACAAGGUUUUUAAUGAGGCAAUUGUGUCACUCCAUCAUGGCCCAUCUGUUGAAUUCGAGGCCCAACUCCUCUUAUGUCUCAAGCCCCCGUCCAAACCAAGAGGAGGAGCCUCAUUUUCGAAUUCAAACCUUCACUUAUUCUCUUUUCAUUUUCGAGAUUGCAUUGUAACUUGUGUUUCUCUUCUGAUCUUUUCCCCUUCUUUCUCUACUUAAACUCUCUGUAUCUCUCUGAGACAUUUUAUCUAUCUUUUCAACCAAAAACCUUUUAAGUUAGAUCAUCUCUCUUAGGUGUGUAAUAUCCUGGAGAAAUCCUGUUCUUUCUUUGGUGUGUCAUAUCCAGAGAAGGUUCAGACGGUAUAUCAGAGGCUUUCCGCAUCCUCUGUGCGACCAAUCGAUCCACCACUUCACUACUCGAACAGACCACUCGAGUUCACUCCAUACCACUCGACCAGCUCGGAUUCAUCACUCGACCAACGCCCGAGCACCAUCCGUUUCACCGAUUCACUUCACUCGACUGUCUCAGAUCCCUACUCGAGUAGGUCACUCGAACAGAACCCAAUACGACCAUCUGAGAUCACUACUCGAGCAUCAUUCACUUCACCUAUCACAAUCCAUACAAAGAGACUUCAAGGGACAUAGAUCUUCUCAACCAAGAUCGUAUCACGUGGUAUCAGAGCAACUUUGUAUCAGGUUGUGUUAUUCUAAACUCUUGGUAUUCUCUGUUUGUCAAAAUUCGUUCGUCGUUUCACGCUUGAAUACUUAUCGGAUCGUAAUGAAACUUGUUAAAUCGUUUUAUUCACGUUCUGAACUAUAGGAUUCUGUACUUAAUCGUGCGAUUUGGAAAACGUGAAUAUUUUCAUCUUCUUAGCAAUCAGGAUCCAGGUUGCAUUUCUCUUUCUUAUACUCAGUCAUACACACCAAUCUUGUCAUAUUGGACUCCAAAAAGCCUACACUUGUGUUUUUAAAUUGCAGGAACAUGUCGAAUCAACAAAACAACAAGAUUUUGAUGGAAGCUGUGUAAUAUGAUCUUGGUCGAAGAUCUAUGUCCCUUGAAUACACUUCGUGAGGUUGAACAAAAACAGCUUGCGGAUUGACUGUUUUAGAGAGGUGGAGAUCGAGUAGGCGAUCUGGUGGACGUGUUCGAGUGAUCUGGUGAGUGUACUCGAGUGGUCUGGUGAGUGUACUCGAGUAGGUCUGUUCGAGUGGAUUUGGUGGAGUGAAACGAGUGAGAUCGAGUGGUGAAGAAGAUGAGGGGUCGAAUAGAACUUCCAAAGGCUGCGGGAUUCCUUUGAACUUCCAGGCUCGAUUCUGCUUGGAUAUGACACACCAAGAGCAGUUUCAAGAUGAGAUCGUGAUAUUACACACACAAACUCAAGAUCAAACGAAUUCAGAAAGAGUUUUUGAUAAGAAAAGUUUGAUGUCGUUUACAAUGGAGGAGAACCGAAUAUAAAGAAGAAGAAGAGAGUCUAGGGAGUUGAAGAGUUCACCUAGGGAAAGAAAAACGAAAUAAACACACAAGACUAAGUUUAAAAUCGAAAUGGGCUCCUCCAUGCAGAUGGGCUCUGAGACAGCAAUGGGCUUGAGUAAAAGAGUGUGUGGGCUUGCCUCAUUAAAAACCUCUCUUGGAAAACCCAUUGGGACAAAACCAAGAGGAGGGAAAAAGAGUGCAAGUCACACACCUCCAUUGCUGUCGCUUAAACGGCUUGAAUCACAACCAGUGUGGUUGGACAAGCUUCUGGUUUAAGGCUGCCCUGAAUUUGAUGUAGAAGUGUGUUGAUAGCUUGAUUCAACUGCUUAGUCCUUGAUCUCGUCAUUGGUCCAGUAGCAACUUGCAAAGCAACGUCCUCUUUAGCUCCAAGAACUUCAUCUCCAUGCUCCUUAGCUCCAUGCUCGAUCAAGUGUUCCUCUGGUGCAAUGUCCUGCUCGAUCACAUCUCCUGCUUGGUGGUCGAGUAUGUCCUCUGGUACAUGCUGAUCCUUAGCUCCAUGAUCCAAGCUUUCCAUUAUCACAUCAUCCUCUCCCAGUUGAAAAGGAUUUGACCUCAAAUCUGUAUUAUCUGCAAUGAAAGGGAUAAGGUCAGCAACAUUGAAGCUAUUACUUACGUUAUACUUACCUUGCAAAUCCAGCAAGUAGGCAUUGUUGUUGAUCCUCUUGAGCACUUUAAAAGGUCCGUCUAUUCUUGGCAUAAGCUUAGACUUUCUCUCCUUAGGAAAACGUUCUUUUCGGAGAUGAAUCCAAACCAAGUCUCCUUCGUUGAAAAUGAGUUCCUUUCUGCUCUUGUUGGCUUGCUUAGUAUACUGCUUCGUCUUCUCUUCAAUAUUCUUCUUUGCCUGCUCGUGUAUCUGUUGAACUAAUUCUGCCUUCUUCUUUCCAUCUAGACUAACUCUUUCAUUCAAAGGUAAAGGCAUCAAAUCCAAAGGAGUAGUGGGAUUGAACCCAUAAACAAUUUGAAAAGGUGAAAAUUUAGAGGCAGAAUGCAUAGAAUGAUUAUAUGCAAACUCAACAUGAGGCAAACAGUCCUCCCAAGUCUUUAGAUUCUUUUUAAUCAAUGCACGCAGGAGUGUAGACAAUGUCCUAUUAACUACCUCAGUUUGACCAUCAGUUUGCGGGUGACAAGUAGUAGAGAACAACAACUUAGUUCCUAGCUUAGACCAAAGCGUUUUCCAGAAAUAACUAAGAAACUUAGUGUCUCUAUCAGAUACUAUGGUCUUAGGCAUACCAUGUAGACGAACUAUUUCUUUAAAGAACAGGUUGGCUAUAUGCAUUGCAUCAUCAGUUUUAUGACAUGGAACGAAAUGUGCCAUCUUAGAAAAUCUAUCCACAACCACAAAAAUCGAAUCCUUACCUGUCCUAGUCCUUGGCAAACCUACUACAAAGUCCAUAGAAAUAUCAUUCCAAGGAUGCGAAGGAAUAGGAAGAGGAGUAUACAAACCGUGGGGUUGUGACUUAGCCUUAGCUUGUUUACAUGUCGGGCACCUUUCACACAUUCUUUCCACAUCUCUUUUCAUGUGCGGCCAGUGAAAGUGAUCUUGCAUGACUUUAAGAGUUUUUGAGACUCCAAAGUGUCCCAUUAAACCUCCACCGUGUGCUUCCCUUACAAACAGCUCUCUCAAAGAAGAAUUAGGAAUACACAAACGGUUAUCAUAAAACAAGAACCCGUCAUGUCUAUAAUACUUUCCAAAUGCAAAUUUCUCACAAGAUGAAUAUAUCUUUUCAAAAUCAGAAUCAUUUGCAUAAAGAGAUUUUAUAUGCUCAAACCCGAGUAACUUAGCAUCAAGAGAUGAGAGAAGAACAUACCUCCUUGACAAUGCAUCAGCAACUACAUUGUCCUUACCUUUCUUGUAUUUGAUGACAUAGGGGAAGGUCUCAAUGAAUUCAACCCAUCUUGCAUGCCGCUUGUUGAGCUUCUGUUGUCCUUUGAGAUGCUUUAAGGACUCAUGAUCUGUGUGAAUGACAAACUCCUUAGGCCAGAGAUAAUGCUGCCAUGUCUGUAGUGCUCUCACCAAAGCGUAAAGCUCCUUGUCAUAAGUAGGAUAAUUGAGAGUAGCUCCUCCUAGCUUUUCACUGAAAUAAGCUAUUGGCUUCUUAUCCUUCAUUAAGACAGCACCAAUUCCUACCCCGGAGGCAUCACAUUCAAUCUCAAAAGUUUUAAUAAAAUCAGGGAGAGAUAAGACAGGGGCAUUAGUAAGCUUCUCUUUCAAAGCUUGGAAAGCAUCCUCUUGAGCCCGUUCCCACUUGAAUCCAACAUUCUUCUUGAUAACUUCAGUGAGAGGAGCUGCUAGAGUGCUAAAAUCCUUUACAAACCGCCUAUAGAAGCCAGCAAGUCCAUGGAAGCUUCUCACUUCUCCUACAGAUUUUGGGCUGGGCCAUUCACGGAUUGCCUUAACCUUUUCUUCGUCGACUUUUACUCCAUCUGUACUCACAACAAAACCUAAGAAGACAAGGUUAUCUGUUCCAAAAGUACAUUUCUUAAGGUUGGCAUAAAGCUUUUCCUUCCUAAGGACUUCUAGAACCAUUUUCAGAUGAUCUACAUGCUCUUCUAGACUCUUGCUGUAGACUAGGAUAUCAUCAAAGUACACUACAACAAAAUGUCCUAUAUAAGCUCUAAGAACAUGAUUCAUCAGCCUCAUGAAUGUACUAGGUGCAUUUGUCAGCCCGAAUGGCAUCACUAACCAUUCAUACAACCCUUGCUUAGUCUUAAAUGCAGUUUUCCACUCAUCGCCUUCUUUCAUCCUAAUUUGAUGAUAUCCGCUUUUCAAAUCUACCUUAGAAAAGAUACUAGAACCAUGCAAUUCGUCUAACAUGUCAUCUAAUCUAGGUAUAGGAUGGCGAUACUUCACUGUUAUGUUGUUGAUGGCUCUGCAGUCAACACACAUUCUCCAGCUUCCAUCCUUCUUAGGCACAAGCAACACUGGUACAGCACAGGGACUCAUACUCUCACGAAUAUGGCCUCUCUCCAUUAGCUCAGUUACUUGUUUUUCUAGCUCCUUGGUCUCCACAGGAUUAGUUCUGUAUGCUGGUCUGUUUGGCAAGGACGCUCCUGGAACAAAGUCUAUUUGGUGCUCAAUGCCUCUGAUGGGUGGUAAACCUUGAGGAUUCUCAUCUGGGAACACAUCAGUAUAAUCCUGCAAUAGGAACUUAAUUUUGCUAGGAAUGACCUGCUCAGGAUUAGUUAUGCUCACGAGAGUCUCUUUAAAAACAAAGAGUAAUUUAGAUGAAUGUAAAUCACUUCCCUUUUGCUUACUCUCGGUUAUCAUGAGGUUAGGUGAUUUUUCUUUCUGUUUCCUCCUCAUUUUCAUGCUCAACUGGUCAAGAUAUACCUCAUGCGGAGUCAUUGGAGCCAGUAUGGUUUUUCUGCCCUUGAACUCAAAGAUUUGACGAUUGGUGAAACCGUCAUGCAUGACUCUUCGGUCUGACUGCCAUGGUCUUCCCAAUAGAAUGUGACUAGCGUCCAUAGGCAGUAUGUCACACAAAACUUCGUCCUCAUACUUUCCAAUAGACAAUGGUACCUUCACUUGUCUGCUCACGCUCAUUUCUCCAUCCUCAUUCAACCACUGCAGUUUGUAUGGCUUCGGAUGCUUCAGGACCUUUAAACCAAGUUUUUCCACCAUGGUCUCACUAGCAACGUUGGUGCAGCUUCCUCCAUCUAUGAUUAAACUACAGACCUUGUCAUUGACAAUACAUCUUGAGUGAAACAGAUUUUCUCUUUGCUCUUGCUCGUCUGUCUUAGCAAUAACACUCAAAGUCUUCAUGGCAACCAGCAGCUCUCCUUUAGAUGGCGCUUCACAGUCUUCUGAUGAUGAGUUCUCUUCUUGCUGCUCAUCCUCUGACUCUAUCUCGCCAGUAUCUUUCAGUAUCAUGAUUCUCUUGUUUGAGCACUCACUAGCGUAAUGACCAUGUCCGUGACACUUAAAGCACUUGAUGUCUCUGGUUCUGGUCUCAACAGCUUUGCCCUUUCCUUUCUGAUCUUGAUCCUCAACCUUUGGCUUGACAAAGGGUUUGUAGUCUUUCUGAAGUCCUGAUCGCUCAUCUCUUUGGUAGCUAGGCUUUCCUGAACCAAAGCUAGACUUUCCUGAACCAAAGCUAGGCUUAGAGCUUCUUCUCUUAAGUUGUUUCUCGAACAUGAUGGCUUUGUGUAGCAGCUCUUCUAGCUCCACGUAGUGCUGAACUUCUACUCUGUCAAUGAUCUCUCGGUUCAGACCUCCCAUGAAUCUAGACAUUGUAGCUUCUUCAUCUUCUUGAAUAUCUGCUCUCAACAUCAAUGUCUCCAUCUCUUUGUAGUAUUCUUCAACUGAUCUACUUCCUUGGACUAGAUUCCUCAAUCUAUUGUGUAGCUCUCUGUGGUAGUGACUGGGAACGAACCGCUUCCUCAUUAUAGUUUUUAUCUGAGUCCAUGUCUCAAUGGGAUAAUCUCCAGCACGUCUUCUUGUGGUGACCAAUUGAUCCCACCAACUCAAUGCGUAGUUCUGGAACCCUGUUGGUGCUAAUUUCACUUUACGCUCCUCUGUAUAACCUUGACAACCGAAUACUAUCUCAAUCUUCUUUUCCCAUUCUAAGUACUCUUCAGGGUCACUGGUUCCCUGGAAAGAAGGAAUCCGUAUCUUCAAGCCAGCUAGGUCAUCUCUGGGUGGAGCUCUUUCUUCUCUGUGAUGUCUUCUCCUUCUAUGGCUGUUACGAGUAGAGGUUUGGCUGUAAUAGUUGUGUGCCGCCUCUUGAUCAGAAGGAUUUCUAGUAUCUCUGUUCUGUCUGCCCUGGGUUGAUCUCUCAUUAGCUUCAAACCUUUCGUCCAUCAUUUUUGCCAUGUUAGCAGUAAGAGUAGCUGUGAGAGUUGCUGUAAGAGCUUCCAGCAACAACUUGUUGUUCUGUACCUGACUGCUUUCUUCCUUGUCCUUAUCAGACAUGUCUGCAAUGAUCGAAACAAAGAAAACCAGUAAAGUGUUCCUUGUAAAUCGAGCAACAAACAAUAGAGUCUAAAAAUUCAAAACCCUAAAUAGCUUCUAUUGAACCCUAAUCGAGCAAGCAUGGAAGACGAAUCGUUUUGUUCCUAAUUACUAGAUCGAGUACGUAGUUAAACAGUUCAGAACGUGAUCUAAACGAUUUGACAAGUUUCAUACAGAUCGGAUAAGUAUUCAAGCCUAGAACGAUGAAACAAUUUCGCAAGAACAAAUCAGAAGAUGAAACGUUUAGAUUGAUACAACCUGACACGAAGUGGCUCUGAUACCACUUAAUAUGAUCUUGGUCGAAGAUCUAUGUCCCUUGAAUACACUUCGUGAGGUUGAACGAAAACAGCUUGCGGAUUGACUGUUUUAGAGAGGUGGAGAUCGAGUAGGCGAUCUGGUGGACGUGUUCGAGUGAUCUGGUGAGUGUACUCGAGUGGUCUGGUGAGUGUACUCGAGUAGGUCUGUUCGAGUGGAUUUGGUGGAGUGAAACGAGUGAGAUCGAGUGGUGAAGAAGAUGAGGGGUCGAAUAGAACUUCCAAAGGCUGCGGGAUUCCUUUGAACUUCCAGGCUCGAUUCUGCUUGGAUAUGACACACCAAGAGCAGUUUCAAGAUGAGAUCGUGAUAUUACACACACAAACUCAAGAUCAAACGAAUUCAGAAAGAGUUUUUGAUAAGAAAAGUUUGAUGUCGUUUACAAUGGAGGAGAACCGAAUAUAAAGAAGAAGAAGAGAGUCUAGGGAGUUGAAGAGUUCACCUAGGGAAAGAAAAACGAAAUAAACACACAAGACUAAGUUUAAAAUCGAAAUGGGCUCCUCCAUGCAGAUGGGCUCUGAGACAGCAAUGGGCUUGAGUAAAAGAGUGUGUGGGCUUGCCUCAUUAAAAACCUCUCUUGGAAAACCCUUUGGGACAAAACCAAGAGGAGGGAAAAAGAGUGCAAGUCACACACCUCCAUUGCUGUCGCUUAAACGGCUUGAAUCACAACCAGUGUGGUUGGACAAGCUUCUGGUUUAAGGCUGCCCUGAAUUUGAUGUAGAAGUGUGUUGAUAGCUUGAUUCAACUGCUUAGUCCUUGAUCUCGUCAUUGGUCCAGUAGCAACUUGCAAAGCAACGUCCUCUUUAGCUCCAAGAACUUCAUCUCCAUGCUCCUUAGCUCCAUGCUCGAUCAAGUGUUCCUCUGGUGCAAUGUCCUGCUCGAUCACAUCUCCUGCUUGGUGGUCGAGUAUGUCCUCUGGUACAUGCUGAUCCUUAGCUCCAUGAUCCAAGCUUUCCAUUAUCACAUCAGAAUAAAAAAAAACUCAUAUGGACUUCGUCCUCUCUUACAAAACUUGGGGAAGCCAUAAUAAGCUUGUGUAGGGUUUUUGGAGUCCAAUAUGACAAGAUUGGUGUGUAUGACUGAGUAUAAGACAGAGAAAUGCAACCUGGAUCCUAAUUGCUAAAGUAGCAUAGAUAGAAUACAAAAACACUCAAAGGGACUUCGUACUCCCAUACAAAACUUGGGGUAGCCAUAAAAAGCUUGUGUAGUAUUCUUGGAGUCUAAUAUGAUAAGAUUGGUGUGUAUGACUGAGCAUAAGAAAGAGAAAUGCAACCCGGAUCCUCAUUGCUAAAGUAGCGUAGAUGGAAUACAAAAACAAUCAUAGGGACUUCGUCCUCACUUACAAAACUUGGGGAAGCCAUAAUAAGCUUGUGUAGGGUUUUUGGAGUCCAAUAUGACAAGAUUGGUGUGUAUGACUGAAUAUAAGAAAGAGAAAUGCAACCCGGAUCCUUAUUGCUAAAGUAGCGUAGAUGGAAUACAAAAACACUCAUAGGGACUUCGUCCUCACUUACAAAACUUGGGGAAGCCAUAAUAAGCUUGUGUAAGGUUUUUGGAGUCCAAUAUGACAAGAUUGGUGUGUAUGACUGAGUAUAAGAAAGGGAAAUGCAACCCGGAUCCUGAUUGCUAAAGUAGCGUAGAUGGAAUACAAAAACACUCAUAGGGACUUCGUCCUCACUUACAAAACUUGGGGAAGCCAUAAUAAGCUUGUGUAGGGAUUUUGGAGUCCAAUAUGACAAGAUUGGUGUGUAUGACUGAGUAUAAGAAAGAGAAAUGCAACCUGGAACCUAGCUGCUAAAGUACCAUAGAUGCAAAAGAAAAAAACUCAUAGGGACUUCGUUCUCCCUUACAAAACUUGGGGAAGCCAUAAAAAGCUUCUAUAGUGUUCUUGGAGUCCAAUAUGAUAAGAUUGGUGCGUAUGACUGAGCAUAAGAAAGAGAAAUGCAACCCGGAUCCUCAUUGCUAAAGUAGCGUAGAUGGAAUACAAAAACACUCAUAGGGACUUCGUCCUCACUUACAAAACUUGGGGAAGCCAUAAUAAGCUUGUGUAGGGUUUUUGGAGUCCAAUAUGACAAGAUUGGUGUGUAUGACUGAGUAUAAGAAAGAGAAAUGCAACCCGGAUCCUUAUUGCUAAAGUAGCGUAGAUGGAAUACAAAAACACUCAUAGGGACUUCGUCCUCCCAUACAAAACUUGGGGAAGCCAAAAUAAGUUUGUGUAGGGUUCUUGGAGUCCAAUAUGACAAGAUUGGUGUGUAUGACUGAGUAUAAGAAAGAGAAAUGCAACCCGGAUCCUGAUUGCUAAAGUAGCGUAGAUGGAAUAAAAAAAAACUCAUAUGGACUUCGUCCUCCCUUACAAAACUUGGGGAAGCCAUAAUAAGCUUGUGUAGGGUUUUUGGAGUCCAAUAUGACAAGAUUGGUGUGUAUGACUGAGUAUAAGACAGAGAAAUGCAACCUGGAUCCUAAUUGCUAAAGUAGCAUAGAUAGAAUACAAAAACACUCAGAGGGACUUCGUACUCCCAUACAAAACUUGGGGUAGCCAUAAAAAGCUUGUGUAGUAUUCUUGGAGUCCAAUAUGAUAAGAUUGGUGUGUAUGACUGAGCAUAAGAAAGAGAAAUGCAACCCGGAUCCUCAUUGCUAAAGUAGCGUAGAUGGAAUACAAAAACAAUCAUAGGGACUUCGUCCUCACUUACAAAACUUGGGGAAGCCAUAAUAAGCUUGUGUAGGGUUUUUGGAGUCCAAUAUGACAAGAUUGGUGUGUAUGACUGAGUAUAAGAAAGAGAAAUGCAACCCGGAUCCUUAUUGCUAAAGUAGCGUAGAUGGAAUACAAAAACACUCAUAGGGACUUCGUAUUGAACCAAAUAAUCAAGAGAAGUCAUUCGGGUCAAGUAGAAUCAAGAAAGGAAGUGUUUGGGACGAGAGAAGUUCAAGAAGGAGGAUUCUGACCGUACCGCGGGACGAUCCGGCUAACCCGCGGUUCAACAAGCUCCGUACGAGUAAGAUUGGAGCUGUCCGUACAAGAGGAGAUUGGGGCCGUCCGUACACAAGUUUACUCGGCCCAUUGAAUCUCCUUAAGCCCCUUAUCAUUGUUCAAAGCAUCACUAGCCUUCUAGAAGCCGCUAGACCCUUCCUCUUGGAGCCGUUACGCGUUUAAAAGGAGGAAGAAGACAAAGCUACUUUAUGACGCGGUUUGGUCCUUGUGACCGUUGUACAUGUUAAGGAUAAGAGUAGCAUCUUCGUAUAGGAUAUUCCUUUUGUAUAGCCUUUAAAAGGUAACCUUUGUAAUUGCCAAAUCAAGUAAUGAGAGAAAUCUCUCUCGUUCUCAUCAUCAAAUCUCUUUCUCCCAAAUCUCUCAAUCUCAUUUCCGCAUACUAAGUCCCAUUCUCGCAACCUAAACUCCACAAUCUUUCAUGGUAUCAGAGCCAUAAAGCUCCACAUACUCUAUUCUCCGAAACUCUAUUCUCCUAAACUCUCCUUGCAAAUCUUCUUCUUCUUUUUCAAUCUUCAUUCUCUUUUCGAUUCAAUCUUUGCUCACCAUGGAGAACACCAAGAUUCGUGCUCCAGUCACCCUCAAAGGAGGAAACUACUUGCUUUGGGCAAGAACCAUGAAGACCAUCUUGUGCGGUCGUGGAUUCUGGCCUCACAUCAUCAAGAGUGAAGCGCCAAGAGAGACAACCACGAACGAAGAUGGCUUGGAGAUCGCCCUUGUUGACGAAGACAAGUGGUUCCAAGAAGACCAAAUGGUCUUAUCCGUUCUCCAAAACUCCCUUGAAGCAUCAAUCCUUGAAGGUUACUCCUAUUGUGAGACUCCCAAGGAUCUUUGGGAAACUUUGCAAAAUGUCUUUGGAAACCAAUCCAACCUAAGCCGUGUGUUUGAGAUCAAGAAAGCCAUCAACGAGCUGAGCCAAGGAGACAUGGAGUUCACUCAACACUUUGGGAAGUUUCGGUCUCUUUGGGCCGAGCUUGAAAUGUUGAGACCUAGCACCCUUGAUCCGGCGGUCAUCAAUGAGAGGCGUGAGCAAGACAAGGUCUUUGGCCUACUCUUCACCUUGAGUCCGGCGUACAACGAUCUCAUCAAGCAUCUCCUCCGUGCCGACAAGCUUCAAAACCUUGAAGAAGUGUGUUCUCAAAUCCAAAAGGAGCAAGGAUCUCUUGGGCUGUUCGGUAGCAAAGGAGAGCUGGUCUCGGGCAACUCAAGUGAACUCGCAACCGCCAACCGGGGUAACUUCAACACCAACCGCGGAAAAGCUCCAUGGUGUGAUCAUUGCAAACGGAGUGGACAUGCCAAAGAGAAGUGCUGGAUCCUUCACCCUCAUCUCAAACCAGCAAGAAGGGAGCCGAGAGCUAACCAAGCCACCGGAGGGAACCUUGGAGGCCAAGAGCAAGCCGGAGCAUCAAGUCAAGCCUUGGGAGGAAAUGGAGCCGCAAUGAUGGCUUCUUCCGACCUAGUGAGACGCUCCGACCUCGAUGCACUCAUCAAGGCUCUCAAAGAGUCUUCCGGUAACGCCUAUCAUGCUCUUGGUGCUUUAAAACCUCUUAUUGUUGAUUCGGGAGCAUCUCAUCAUAUGAUUAGUGAUUCUAACUUGAUGAACAACAUUGAACCGGCUUUAGGAAACGUCAUAAUUGCAAAUGGUGAUAAGAUUCCGGUUAAAGGAGUAGGAGACUUAGAAUUGUUUAGCAAAAAGUCUAAAGCUUUCUAUAUGCCUACUUUCACUUCGAACUUGUUAUCAGUUAAGAAAGCUACUACCGAUCUUAAUUGCUAUGCUAUCUUUGGUCCUAAUGAUGUUCAUUUUCAGGAUAUUGAGACUAGUAGAGUACUUGGUCAUGGAGCUACAAAGGAUGGUCUUUAUGUUCUUGAAGAUACAAAGCUCUCUACUCCUCUAUCUUCUCACUUUAGUUCAAUUCUUGUUAAUGCGAAUAAUGCUAUUUGGCAUGCUAGACUAGGACAUCCUCAUUCUCGUGCUUUAGGUCUUUUGUUACCAAGUAUUUCCUUUAAGAAUAAUGAAUGUGAGGCUUGUAUUCUUGGUAAACAUUGCAAAUCCGUAUUUCCCAAGUCUAAUACUAUUUAUGAGAAUUGUUUUGAUUUGGUUCAUUCGGAUGUUUGGACUUCACCUUGCUUAUCUAGAGAAAAUCAGAAAUACUAUGUCACAUUCAUUGAUGAGAAGUCUAAAUAUACUUGGUUAACUUUGUUACCUUCUAAAGAUAGAGUUCUUGAGGCUUUUAUCAACUUUCAAAACUAUGUCACUAACCAUUACAAUGCCAAGAUCAAAAUCUUUAGGUCCGAUAAUGGUGGUGAAUAUACAAGUCAUGCCUUCAAGCAACAUUUGGCCAAGCACGGGAUAAUUCAUCAAACAAGCUGUCCUUAUACACCACAACAAAACGGAGUAGCGGAAAGGAAGAAUAGGCAUCUCAUGGAAGUGGCAAGAUCGAUGAUGUUCCACACCAAUGUUCCUAAACGCUUUUGGAGUGAUGCGGUGGUCCUAGCUUGCUACUUGAUCAACCGGACACCGACCAAGAUCCUACAAGAUUCCUCUCCUUUUGAAGUACUUAACAAGAAUAAACCGUCUAUCAAUCACUUACGUGUGUUUGGUUGUGUUUGUUUUGUCCUUAUAGGUGAACAAAGAAACAAACUCGAACCUAAGAGUGUCAAGGGCAUGUUUAUUGGGUACUCAAUCACACAAAAAGGAUACAAGUGCUAUAUACCGGAAACAAGGAAAGUUCUUGUUUCAAGAGAUGUGAAGUUUGUUGAGGGUAAAGGCUACUAUGAAGAAAAGAAUUGGGAAGACAUUCAAGAUCUCACCCAUUCACCUUCGGAUAGAGCUAGCAACCUCCGAAUUAUCUUGGAAAGACUUGGUGUAAGCAACUCUCAAAGUCAUACCAAUUCACCAAAUCCUAAUCCGGAGCAUACUCAACAACAAGAAACAUCACAACAUGAGGAAAAAGAACAUUUACAAGAAGAAGAAAAUAUUCAAGAAGACAAUCUUGAAGAGGAAGAUAUCCCAAGUGAUCAUGAGGAAGAUACUACUUUACCCGAAGAGGAGAAUUUGUCUACAUCGGAUCAUAAUGAAGAUUCUACAUCCCAAGAAGCACCUAUAGCCCUAAGAAGAAGUCAAAGACAGAAGUUCCCUCCAUCAAAUUGGAAGAACACUCGGGUUUACUACAAUAGUCAAGCCGUGGCUCACCCUAUUCAAGCCAUGUGUACCAUUGCUCAUUUCCCCGAAGAACAUCAAGCCUUCCUUGGACAAAUUGAUCAACAUUGGAUUCCUCAAACCUAUGAAGAAGCUAUCCAACAUCAAGUAUGGAGAGAAGCUAUAGCCGCCGAAAGACAAGCUAUGGAACAUAACCAUACUUGGGAAGAAGGAGAGUUACCUAAAGGCAAGAGAGCUGUGACAUCCAAGUGGGUCUUCACUAUCAAGUACAAGAGCAAUGGGGAGAUAGAACGCUACAAAGCUAGGCUUGUUGCAAGAGGGUUCACUCAAACGUAUGGGGUGGAUUACUUGGAUACGUUUGCCCCGGUUGCAAAGCUACAUACGGUUAGAGUAGUUCUCUCUCUAGCUACCAACUUGGAGUGGGAGCUAUGGCAAAUGGAUGUUAAGAAUGCCUUUCUUCAAGGAGAACUUGAAGAAGAAGUCUACAUGAAGCCACCACCGGGCUUUGAAGAUCAUAAUGCACCCGGGAAGGUUUUUAAACUCAAGAAAGCUAUCUAUGGUUUGAAGCAAUCCCCAAGAGCUUGGUACCACAAGCUUAGCACAACCUUGCUGGAAAGAGGAUUCAAGAAGUCGGAAGCCGACAACACUCUCUUCACUCUCCCAAGCAAGGAAGGUAUAGUAGUCAUUCUCGUUUAUGUAGAUGAUAUUAUCAUCUCCGGGAAUGACAAGGUAGGGAUUCAAGAGACUAAAAACUUUCUUAAGAGUGUUUUUGAUAUAAAAGACCUUGGUGAACUAAAGUACUUCCUUGGGAUAGAAGUUUGUAGAUCAAAGGAAGGUCUCUUCUUAUCUCAAAGGAAGUACACUCUUGAUCUUCUUAGUCAAGUAGGUAAGCUUGGAGCAAAACCGGCUAAGACUCCCUUGGAAGAUGACUACAAGGCCAAUCAUAAGGGGGAGCUUGACAACAAGCCUUUCGAAGAUGUCACACAAUAUCGAAGACUUGUAGGUAAGCUCAUUUAUUUAACCAUUACAAGGCCUGACAUUUGCUUUGCUGUGAAUGUAGUAAGUCAACACAUGCAAGCUCCCACGCUACAUCAUUGGAACAUGGUGAACCGCAUCCUCAAAUAUCUCAAAGGAGCUCCGGGUCAAGGCAUUUGGAUGGGAUGCAACAACAACACGAAGCUGGUGGGAUAUUGUGAUGCGGACUAUGCUGGAGACAAGAAGGAUAGGAGGUCCACCACCGGCUAUUGCACAUUCAUUGGUGGCAACCUAGUUACUUGGAGAAGCAAGAAGCAAAAGGUGGUCUCCCUUUCAAGUUGUGAAGCCGAGUACCGGGCCAUGAGAAAGCUCACAACUGAACUUAUGUGGUUGAAAGCUCUCCUCAAAGACUUCGGAAUUGACACACCCAAGCCAAUCACCAUGCAUUGCGACAAUCAAGCCGCCAUUCACAUCGCCUCAAAUUCAGUGUUCCAUGAAAGAACGAAGCACAUUGAGGUGGAUUGUCACAAGGUCAGAGAACAAGUUCAACUUGGAGUAAUCCUACCUUGCUACACCGAUACUGAAGAACAAUUGGCCGACAUCUUCACCAAAGGAGCUAGCACCAAAGUUUGUGAGUACAUUCAUCACAAACUUGGCCUCGUUGACAUCUCUCGGCCAUGAUCCUCUUAGCCAAAUAUCCCAUACUCUUUUUCCCUAAGUGUGGUUUUAUCCCAUGAGGUUUUCUACACUUAGGUUUUUAAUGAGGUGGUUGAAUUUGGAUCCAAGUCUAACCUCCAUUCUUCUCCGGUUAGACUUGAGGGGGAGUAUUGAACCAAAUAAUCAAGAGAAGUCAUUCGGGUCAAGUAGAAUCAAGAAAGGAAGUGUUUGGGACGAGAGAAGUUCAAGAAGGAGGAUUCUGACCGUACCGCGGGACGAUCCGGCUAACCCGCGGUUCAACAAGCUCCGUACGAGUAAGAUUGGAGCUGUCCGUACAAGAGGAGAUUGGGGCCGUCCGUACACAAGUUUACUCGGCCCAUUGAAUCUCCUUAAGCCCCUUAUCAUUGUUCAAAGCAUCACUAGCCUUCUAGAAGCCGCUAGACCCUUCCUCUUGGAGCCGUUACGCGUUUAAAAGGAGGAAGAAGACAAAGCUACUUUAUGACGCGGUUUGGUCCUUGUGACCGUUGUACAUGUUAAGGAUAAGAGUAGCAUCUUCGUAUAGGAUAUUCCUUUUGUAUAGCCUUUAAAAGGUAACCUUUGUAAUUGCCAAAUCAAGUAAUGAGAGAAAUCUCUCUCGUUCUCAUCAUCAAAUCUCUUUCUCCCAAAUCUCUCAAUCUCAUUUCCGCAUACUAAGUCCCAUUCUCGCAACCUAAACUCCACAAUCUUUCACUUCGUCCUCCCAUACAAAACUUGGGGAAGCCAAAAUAAGUUUGUGUAGGGUUCUUGGAGUCCAAUAUGACAAGAUUGGUGUGUAUGACUGAGUAUAAGAAAUAGAAAUGCAACCCGGAUCCUGAUUGCUAAAGUAGCGUAGAUGGAAUAAAAAAAAACUCAUAUGGACUUCGUCCUCCCUUACAAAACUUGGGGAAGCCAUAAUAAGCUUGUGUAGGGUUUUUGGAGUCCAAUAUGACAAGAUUGGUGUGUAUGACUGAGUAUAAGACAGAGAAAUGCAACCUGGAUCCUAAUUGCUAAAGUAGCAUAGAUAGAAUACAAAAACACUCAGAGGGACUUCGUACUCCCAUACAAAACUUGGGGUAGCCAUAAAAAGCUUGUGUAGUAUUCUUGGAGUCCAAUAUGAUAAGAUUGGUGUGUAUGACUGAGCAUAAGAAAGAGAAAUGCAACCCGGAUCCUCAUUGCUAAAGUAGCGUAGAUGGAAUACAAAAACACUCAUAGGGACUUCGUCCUCACUUACAAAACUUGGGGAAGCCAUAAUAAGCUUGUGUAGGGUUUUUGGAGUCCAAUAUGACAAGAUUGGUGUGUAUGACUGAGUAUAAGAAAGAGAAAUGCAACCCGGAUCCUUAUUGCUAAAGUAGCGUAGAUGGAAUACAAAAACACUCAUAGGGACUUCGUCCUCCCAUACAAAACUUGGGGAAGCCAAAAUAAGUUUGUGUAGGGUUCUUGGAGUCCAAUAUGACAAGAUUGGUGUGUAUGACUGAGUAUAAGAAAGAGAAAUGCAACCCGGAUCCUGAUUGCUAAAGUAGCGUAGAUGGAAUAAAAAAAAACUCAUAUGGACUUCGUCCUCCCUUACAAAACUUGGGGAAGCCAUAAUAAGCUUGUGUAGGGUUUUUGGAGUCCAAUAUGACAAGAUUGGUGUGUAUGACUGAGUAUAAGACAGAGAAAUGCAACCUGGAUCCUAAUUGCUAAAGUAGCAUAGAUAGAAUACAAAAACACUCAGAGGGACUUCGUACUCCCAUACAAAACUUGGGGUAGCCAUAAAAAGCUUGUGUAGUAUUCUUGGAGUCCAAUAUGAUAAGAUUGGUGUGUAUGACUGAGCAUAAGAAAGAGAAAUGCAACCCGGAUCCUCAUGCAAAGAGNNNNNNNNNNNNNNNNNNNNNNNNNNNNNNNNNNNNNNNNNNNNNNNNNNNNNNNNNNNNNNNNNNNNNNNNNNNNNNNNNNNNNNNNNNNNNNNNNNNNCUUGUGUCGCUUGUCUUUGUCAAAAGAGUCAAAUGUAGGUUUAAAGGCAGCCUUGGAGCACAUGAGAAGUACUGAAAGGAGAGAGAAAGACAUCGGGUUUAAGCCCCCUGAUUUAGACCAAGUUCAACAUCAAGACGUCAGCAGCUUCAUACUGAUCAACGAAGGACCGCCAAAUGAAAUAUUCAAGUCAAAGCUGAAGCCAACGAUGCAUAGACCUUUCAAAGCAUUCAGACUUAUCCAAAACCAAGAUUAUCCAAUUGAUCUCCAAGGUAAGCAAAAUUUGAGUUCAAGUUUUGAAGUUUCUGACUUGGUUCUUUCAAAUGCAGAAAAAUCGGAUUUGAGGUCAAAUCCUUUUCAAGUGGGAGAGGAUGAUGUGAUCCUGGAAAGCACCAAGGACAUGGAAUGUAGAAAUGAGCUUGAACCCGUAGAGCAGCACGAAGCAAGGAAUCAGCUUGAACCAGAGGAGCAGCAUGAACCCGAGGAUGAGCUUGUAGCUGCGGAUGUUCUCUUGAAGAAGCUUAUCAAACCACCUUGGAUUGGAGAAAGAGCUAUGUCAAUUGAGUUCAACAAUGGGAGAGUGACUCAAUUGUACUCUUUUUCCCUUGUUGAGUUUUGUCCCAAUGGGUUUUCUCAACAAGGUUUUUAAUGAGGCAAUUGUGUCACUCCAUCAUGGCCCAUCUGUUGAAUUCGAGGCCCAACUCCUCUUAUGUCUCAAGCCCACGUCCAAACCAAGAGGAGGAGCCUCAUUUUCGAAUUCAAACCUUCACUUAUUCUCUUUUCAUUUUCGAGAUUGCAUUGUAACUUGUGUUUCUCUUCUGAUCUUUUCCCCUUCUUUCUCUACUUAAACUCUCUGUAUCUCUCUGAGACAUUUUAUCUAUCUUUUCAACCAAAAACCUUUUAAGUUAGAUCAUCUCUCUUAGGUGUGUAAUAUCCUGGAGAAAUCCUGUUCUUUCUUUGGUGUGUCAUAUCCAGAGAAGGUUCAGACGGUAUAUCAGAGGCUUUCCGCAUCCUCUGUGCGACCAAUCGAUCCACCACUUCACUACUCGAACAGACCACUCGAGUUCACUCCAUAACACUCGACCAGCUCGGAUUCAUCACUCGACCAACGCCCGAGCACCAUCCGUUUCACCGAUUCACUUCACUCGACUGUCUCAGAUCCCUACUCGAGUAGGUCACUCGAACAGAACCCAAUACGACCAUCUGAGAUCACUACUCGAGCAUCAUUCACUUCACCUAUCACAAUCCAUACAAAGAGACUUCAAGGGACAUAGAUCUUCUCAACCAAGAUCGUAUCAGUGUUUAUGAUUGGGUAUAAGAACUAUAACCGCAACCGGAUCCCAAAAGAUAAAGUAGUGUUUUUCCAUUUAGAAGCUCCAAACCAGAAAACUCAUAGGACUUUGGCCACACCCACAAAGAUUUGAGAAGCAAUAAGAAGCUUGGUUAGUGUUUUUGGAGUCAAAUAUGACUAGAUCUAGAGUUUAUGAUUGGGUAUAAGAACUAGAACCGCAACCGGAUCCCAAAAGCUAAAGUAGUGUUUUUCCGUUUAGAAGCUCCAACACAGAAAACUCAUAGGACUUCGGCCACACCCACAAAGAUUUGAGAAGCAAUAAGAAGCUUAGUUAGUGUUUUUGGAGUCAAAUAUGACUAGAUCUCGUGUUUUUUAUUGGGUAUAAGAACUAGAGCCGCAACCGGAACCCAAAAGCUAAUGUAGUGUUUUUCCAUUUAGAAGCUCCAAAACAGAAAAUUCAUAGGACUUCUGCCACACCCACAAAGAUUGGAGAAGCAAUAAGAAGCUUGGUUAGUGUUUUUGGAGUCAAAUAUGACUAGAUCUAGUGUUUAUGAUUGGACUAUAACCGCAACCGGAUCCCAAAAGAUAAAGUAGUGUUUUUCCAUUUAGAAGCUCCAAACCAGAAAACUCAUAGGACUUUGGCCACACCCACAAAGAUUUGAGAGGCAAUAAAAAGCUUGGUUAGUGUUUUUGGAGUCAAAUAUGACUAGAUCUAGUGUUUAUGAUUGGGUAUGAACUAUAACCGCAACCAGAUCCCAAAAGAUAAAGUAGUGUUUUUCCAUUUAGAAGCUCCAACACAGAAAACUCAUAGGACUUCGGCCACACCCACAAUGAUUUGAGAAGCUAUAGGAAGCUUGGUUAGUGUUUUUUGUUGGAUUUGAAGAGACUAAGCUCAUAAGAAAGAGUAAACAAUCACUUGGUGAUUGAAUCUCAGUUUAUCCACACAAAGGGAACUCAUUCUCAAGAGGAAGAAACCAUCAACUUGUGAUGGAAUCCACACCAAUAUAGCUUGAUAGAACCGAAAUCUCUAUGGAGAGAAUCGAUCCUAGCAAGACAACUAUCUCUAGUAUGAAGCUAGAUUCGUGAGAAGUAACACAACACUAAAGGUUUGUGUACUUAGAGAGAAACGAAUCUAUGAAUCAUUUAGCUAGAGUAAACAACAUAAAUAAGAGAUUAAGAAGAGUUUAAGGUGUAUUUAAGAGUAGUAUGACAAGCAAUAGGCUGCUUAGAGGCAGCCCUAAAUCGUGUAACACUAUCUCUCUACAUUGUAACACUUUGGUUGAACACAAGUAAAGAAGAGAGAGCUACACGAAAUUGAUAAGAGCUUGUCUUUUCUUAUUGAUGUGUUAACCUUUACAAUGAGAUUACAAGGCUUUAUAUAGAAGGAGAACUAGGUUAAGAUGUCUCACAAUUCCCUUUAAUCCUAGCCCUUCUUUUCUCUCUUUAAAUCUCCACCAUUGAAUUCAAAAUAGCUUCUAGAAGGUUGUGGUCCACUUUUGUCUUCUAGAAGGUUGUGGUCCAACUUUGACCAAGACCAAGUUUGAAUUUGAGUCUCCUUCCUUUGUCUCCAACGGCUCUUAGGUCUUCUAGAAGGUCUCUCAUGGGCUUCUCUUAUGUGACACCAAUCUUGCACAUUAUUAUCUUCACUAGGUGACACGAGUUUUGCACAUUCUUGUAUUCAUGCAUAGACUUCAUUUUGCAUCCUCGGUCUUGAUACUUUUGACACCAAUUAUGCACAUUAGGUCAUGAUAACUUUGACACUAAUUUUGCACAUUGGGUCUUGAUAACUUUGACACCAAUUUUGCACAUUGGUGUCUCGUCUUCGGCCUUGUCUUGAGAUCUUCGGCCUUGACUCGUCUUAUGUGUUUACACCAAUUUUGCACUUCGGUGUCUUGGUGACUUUACACCAAUUUUGCACUUCCGGCCUUCAUACCUUGAAGUGACCCGAGCUUUGCACGGCUAUCUUAUGGAGUGAUAGACUCCUAGAUGAGGAUCUACUCCCAAGAACACACUUUGUUGGUUUUGAACAUGAAGGAUGCAGCGGAAUGGAAGAAGAGCGAGAUCGUAGGUGGAAGAUGAACGGACAAACGGAUGAACGGUUGCAGCGGAUUGAAGGUGGAACGUUUUGUACUUCCAAGAGAGGUGGAAAUCUCUUAGACUACGAGCUUGAAUACAACUUAGAUAUUACACACUAAGAAGGAAACAAGUUGAGAAGAUAUUACGCACUUCUCGGAUCAAACAAGUAAAAGAGAGAUUUUUGAUAAAAUGUUUGAUAAGUUCUCAUAAGAGAAUACAUAGAGAAUAUAUAGAGGAGAAGGAGAGAAGAGAAUGUAGAGAGACAAGUCUUGGAACAAGCUCCAAGGCUGCCUAGAAACUUAACAAAAUAUUAAAGAUAGAAUUUGAAUAGAAAAGACCCUUUGGCUUCAAAGAUGACUCUUGAACUCCUAUUUUCGUCACUCCUCUUGGCCAGCAAAUUAAGCACUUGGUUUGGAGUCUUCUUGGGCUUGUAAUGGCAAUAAAAUGGGCUGGACUUGAUAGCUAACACCUUGGAAGAUUUUCUGAAUAUUCUGGCCCGGUCUUGAUCAUCAAAUGGGUGAUUUGGAUGUGAAUCAUUUGCCUCAUUAAAAACCUUUCUUUGGAAAACCCAUUGGGAUAAAACCAAAGAUAAGGGAAAAAGAGUACAAAUGAGACACAUGCCCAUUUGUUGAUCAUGUAUCAAAACCAACGAGGUUAAGAUAACUUCUUUUGCGUUAUUUUCCUCAGCUACAAGCUGCUCCUUAGCUCCAUUUUCCUCAGCUACAAGCUGCUUCCUAGCUCCAAGCUUCUCAGGUUCAAGCAGCUCCAUAUCUCCAUUGUCCGAGCUAUCCAUGAUCACAUCAUCCCCUCCCUCUUGAAAAAGAUUUGUCCUCAAAUCUGCUUCUUCUGCAACAAAAGGGAUUAAGUUAGAAAAGUUGAAACUUAAGCUCAGAUUAUACUUACCUUGCAAGCUUUGGUCAUAAGCUUUUUCUCUGGUUGGCUCAAAGAUCUGAAAUGAAAAAUUGCUUCUUGGCGUCAGCUGGAUCUGUUUGUUGUUUGGAAAACACUUCAUUUGAAUCCAGAAACAUCCACCAGGGUCAAAGAUCAUUCUCCAUUGCCUCUUGUUUCCUUGCCAUUCAUCCUGCUCAUUUCUCAACUGCUCGCAUGGAUCAUAAUCAAUCUUAACAGUAAACCUCAUUAGCCACAAGUUAAAUAGCCACGUUUCUGGUGCAUGAGCUUUCAUUGCUUCCCUUUGUAUAACCUGUGCUUUCACCACAAAUACUCGAAAAACAGGAUCAUAGGUGCAAAAGGUAUACUUCUUUUCUUCAACAAACAGGUAAUUACUUAGAUCAUCUAAACAAGAUCUCAGAAAUUUAGCAUGAUCAUCAAAGAUUUGGUUAUAAACUAGAAUAUCAAAACCUUCAGUGAAUGGAUAGGAAACAGAAAAAGCCUCUUUAGUUUUAACGUAUGAAAUGCAGUAGGCUAUCCUAGAGAGAUUAUCAAACUCAAACAUAGAAUCAUUCAAGAAACAGUUAAGCUCAAACAGUUUAAUUUUAUUAAGCAUAAAUCCUUUAGUUCUAUAUGUAAAUUGAUCAUAAGGCUGAAACACAUCUUUAAUUCCAUCAUGAGAAUCGUAAGACUCUUUAGCCUGCUCAAAAUCUAGCAACCUAUCAUUGGGUAUAGCAAGAAAUUCAUACCUUUGAGUCGUUGUAUCAGUUACAACAUGUUUCUUACCUUGUUUGCUCUGGAUGAUAUAAAGAAAGGUCUUACUGGAUUCGCCUGAUUCAUCAAGGAAUUGAUGUUCAAGUCCAAAGAAUGGUGGUAAUCCUCCUGGGUUGUUUUCUUCAAAUUCCUGCAAGAGACACUUGAUUUUGCUAGGUAUGACCUGCUCAGGAUUAGUUAGACUCAUAAGAGUCUCUUUAUAAACAAACAAUUGCUUAGGCUUUUGAAAACAACUUCCCCUUUCCUUUUUCUCGGUGAUCAUGAGGUUGGUUUGAGGUUGAUGCAAAUCUGGUGGUUUUUCUUUGAUUGUCAUUUCUCUUAUGUGCUUAUGCUUCUCCAAAACUCUUGUUCCAGAAAAAGGCAUAAUGACAUGUUUUGGCAUAUGGCUGGUUGGCCGUUCCAUUUCACUAAUCAAUGACAAACUCCUCGGUUCUCCUUCUAAUGAUUUUUCCUCAAGCAACUGUGACAGAAGAACAAUACUACUCGGUUGCUCCGGUUCAAAAUGGGUUAGUUUGUCAAGCACAAAAUCAGAUUGAAUACAAGAAAGAGUACACUUAGCUUGUAAGGAGGUGAGAUGCUUCAGAGUUUUGUUUUCAGUUUGCUCUUCCUUGUUGCUUAAGUGUUGCUGGUUUUGAUCAGCAUUGUAUGGUUGAGUCUCCACCUUGUCUUUGUUGCUGUUUUCAGAAUUUUCUUCUAGCACAAUAAGCUCCUUGCAGAUUGGUAAAGACUGAUCUGAUUCUGAUUUUUGAAUAACCAUUUCCCUCUUAAGAAAACUUGAUCUCUCAUUUGCUGUUUCAGAACCAACAGAUUUGGUAGUGCUUGGAUUUUUCUUUUGGCUUUUCUCAACAGCCUUAAAUGCUUCCAUCACCCGCUUGUGCACUUCUUCAUAAUCUAUUUGUGUACUCAGCUGGUUCAGAAGUGGUUUAGCUUUCUUGAAACUUCUCUGAACAUCACGGUUGCAGUAGUCAUGAUUUGCUUUAUCUCUUACUGAUCUGCUUCUCCAGUUAGGCUUCUCUUGGGGUCUCCUUGGUGGUGGCUCUCUAUGGUAGUGACUUGGUACGAAUCUCUUUCUCAUUAUGUUCUUCAUUUCAGUCCAAGUCUCUACUGGAUAAUCCCCUACACGUCUCCUUGUAGUAACCAAAUGAUCCCACCAGCUUAGUGCAUAAUUCUGAAAUUCAGUAGACGCAACUUUAACCUUGUUGGCCUCGGUACACUCUUGGCAAACAAAGACUAACUCAAUUUUCUGCUCCCACUCCAAGUAAGUAUCCGGAUUGUUGGUUCCGUGAAAAGCGGGAAUCUUGAGUUUUAUUUUUCCCAAAGGAUCUCUAGGCGGGGGUCUUUCUCUUCGCUGCCUACGUUGACUAUUGUAAGAGGAGGCAUGGCUGUAGUAAUUUCUUGCUUCAUCAUAUUGCCUUGGUUCCUCUUGUUGUUGCCUUUGACGUUGAUUUGGUUCCGGGUUGAUUUGAUUCAAGUGUAGAGCACCAAGCUUCUCGUCGAUCAUUGUUGCCAUUGCAGCUGUGACGGAUUUCAAGAUUUUUCUCUCCAAGCUAGAGGUGGAUGACUCUUCGUCUUCAGAUGUCACCAUUGUACCUGAAAAAUCGAAAAUCUAACAAGUAAACAGUCCAAAAACAGACAAAUCUAAACGGAUCUGGAAAAAUAUCAAAACGAUUCCAAAAAUUCAAAAAUCAAUUUUCAAAACUACUAGACUCGUUACUGGUUCGAACGCAAUUGGUUUCACAAUUUUUCAACAAGCCAAUUAUUUUUCAAAAUUAAAACAAGAUGCGAUCAGAAAUCUGGAAAAAAAGUGAAAUCGAGAAAAAAGAAAAUUUAGGGUUGGAACAUCAAAACCUGAUAACAAAGUGGCUCUGAUACCACAUGAUAGACUCCUAGAUGAGGAUCUACUCCCAAGAACACACUUUGUUGGUUUUGAACAUGAAGGAUGCAGCGGAAUGGAAGAAGAGCGAGAUCGUAGGUGGAAGAUGAACGGACAAACGGAUGAACGGUUGCAGCGGAUUGAAGGUGGAACGUUUUGUACUUCCAAGAGAGGUGGAAAUCUCUUAGACUACGAGCUUGAAUACACCUUAGAUAUUACACACUAAGAAGGAAACAAGUUGAGAAGAUAUUACGCACUUCUCGGAUCAAACAAGUAAAAGAGAGAUUUUUGAUAAAAUGUUUGAUAAGUUCUCAUAAGAGAAUACAUAGAGAAUAUAUAGAGGAGAAGGAGAGAAGAGAAUGUAGAGAGACAAGUCUUGGAACAAGCUCCAAGGCUGCCUAGAAACUUAACAAAAUAUUAAAGAUAGAAUUUGAAUAGAAAAGACCCUUUGGCUUCAAAGAUGACUCUUGAACUCCUAUUUUCGUCACUCCUCUUGGCCAGCAAAUUAAGCACUUGGUUUGGAGUCUUCUUGGGCUUGUAAUGGCAAUAAAAUGGGCUGGACUUGAUAGCUAACACCUUGGAAGAUUUUCUGAAUAUUCUGGCCCGGUCUUGAUCAUCAAAUGGGUGAUUUGGAUGUGAAUCAUUUGCCUCAUUAAAAACCGUUCUUUGGAAAACCCAUUGGGAUAAAACCAAAGAUAAGGGAAAAAGAGUACAAAUGAGACACAUGCCCAUUUGUUGAUCAUGUAUCAAAACCAACGAGGUUAAGAUAACUUCUUUUGCGUUAUUUUCCUCAGCUACAAGCUGCUCCUUAGCUCCAUUUUCCUCAGCUACAAGCUGCUUCCUAGCUCCAAGCUUCUCAGGUUCAAGCAGCUCCAUAUCUCCAUUGUCCGAGCUAUCCAUGAUCACAUCAUGGAGAUCUUUCUCUUCACUUGGUUCAAUACUCCCCCGCAAGCUUGAGCGUCGGGACAAUAAGGACCAAAGGUCAAGCUUGGAGAUCUUCGGCCUUGUCGUCAUGACUUCGGCCUUGACUCCUUUCUACUUCUUCUUAUAUUUUAAUACCCUCCCGCACGUUUGAUCGUCGGGACAACAUGAGGACCAGAGAUCAAGCGUGGACUCGUGUCGACUACCUCAUUAAAAACCUUAACAAAGAAAACCACUUGGGAUAAAACUUUGUUAAGGGAAAAAGAGUAUAGCCUUCACGGUCAUUGAUGUCGCUAUGAUCUUGGUUUGUUAAGAACCGGCUCUCUUCUCUUCAAGUCUUUGAACCGCUACACUGUCUUUAACCCGCUUCUCAUGAUCUCCAAUCUUGCACUUCUCGAAUUUCUUUGAGGCUCUCAUAGUCUCCUUUACCCUUUAAACAAGUGAUAAAGAAGAGUGUAUAAGUAUAUGCUAUGAGGAAUAUCAAAGAAAAUUCUAAGAAUGUGACAAGUCUAAGGGAAACAUAUUCGAGCAUAAAGACUAGCAAUUGAACUACGGUAAUGAAUUUAAAUAGAGUAGAGUUUUAGAGCACAGCCUUUGGUUUGAAUCGCCAUUCUUGAUGAUGGCUUCUUUUCUUUAUCCCUUGAGAGAACUUCUUCAACGUGAAUUGAAGAGGACUUUUGGAUUCAUCAUGAUUUUAAAUGCUUUGAACAUUUCGUUCAAAGACAUCCCAUGGUUCUCUUCCCCCUUCUUUCCUCCGUGAGUCUCUUCUUCAAGGGCUUUGAUUUUGUGGUCGCCAUUUCUUCUUGGAAUUCUCUCAAGAAGAGAUGGAAGGCAUAAGCCUGAGAAUAAGAGACAAAAAUGAAAGUGUAUGUUACCAAGAAUAAGAGAAUAAAGAGUAUAAAGAGUAUAAAGAGUAUGGACUCAAGAGUGCCAAUGGACAAAGUUCUUAGCUUUGUUUUCUUGAGUUGAGGUUGAGAGUAUGUGGGGUUUAGUAACCAGAAUGGGCAUGAGAAUUGAAGCCGCUCCCUUUCUUCAACACGGGUAGCCAUUAUUUUCUACUCCGGGUUCUUCAAGGUCUAACUCCAAGACGCCAUGAUACUUCCAACGAGUACCAAUCAUGUUGUCUACUUCGUGGACUCCAUGGCUACUCCAAACUGAACUUUUGUUGCGGUUUGAGCUCUCUUCUUGAGGUCUCUAGAUCGCUUCUUAGAACAUGUUAAACCAUGAUGGUUUUAACCCUUUUCGAGCCUUGAAACCUUGUACAUCAAUGACUUUGAAGUCUUGUGCACAUUCAAACUUGAGCUCCAUGACUUUGACACUUGAAUGCGUGAGUUUGAUUCAGCAUUCCCACCAGAUUUCUUCUCUAAUUUGAUCGUCCACCAAUGUCACUUCCUUUCUAACAACCACUUGAGUUCGCUGGCCAGAUUUCUUCUUCGGGUUGUCUUGAGUUUUGACUUGGUUGGAUCGUCUAAAUGGGCUUCAAAUAUAACCGGCUCUACUCUUCACUUUCUUAGUCCUUCAUGACUGGUUCUGAAUCCUUUCCUUGUCAACUUUUACUUCCUUGAGGCUCUCAUUGGUCUCUUUGAGGCUCUUAUGGUCUCCUUCACCCUUAAACAAGAGAUAAAGAAGAAAAGAUUAAGUUUUGCCAUAAGGAAUAUCAAAGAGAAUAUCAAAUGAGGAAUAUCAAGGCUAUUAAGCAACAAUUAGGAGUUCAUGUAUAUAUUAAACUGUGAAUUCUAAGGCAAUGGUUUAAUGAAGAAUAUCAUGAAAUGAGAGUAGAGUUUAGAAACAGCCUUUAUUUGAAGAAGACUUGAACUUGUGCGGUUUGUUCGUCUAAUGGACUUCAAGUCUGAUGGUGAAUGGUUCUAACCCUCCCGCAAACUUAUAGUGCCCAGAUUAUCCAUCCAUUAAUCUCUAACAAAUGCAUUCGCCUUCUCUUUAUGAGACAAGCGAUUCCUUGCAAAACAGAUUAGAGUUAAUGGACACCAAAACAAACAAAAAUGGUGAGAGAUUAGUGUAAGUGAAUAGAAUGAGCAGAAAUAAAGGAGAAUAAUAGUAUAAAGACAAUAAAGGAGAAUGGAGAAUAGAGAGUUUGCUCAAGAGUUCAAAUGGACAGAGUUUAGCUCUGUUUUCUUGAGUUAAGCGGAAGCUUUAACAACCAAGGCAUCCAAUAAUCAUCAAGACUUUGGUGCUUUAAUGGCUGAAACAAUAUGGACCGUUGGGCAAUUCAUUUACCCACCGGUUUAAGACAUAAACACACCGAAAUAACUCAUGACCAAGAGUUUUCCGGUGACUUUAAAGAACUAUGAACCACGAAAUACCAUAUUGAAGAUGGUUUCCGUGGCCUAGUUUUAAAGAAACCAUUGGAACAAAACAGUUUGUCCAAUGGAAUCCUCAAUUUCUCUUCACAUGCUUGGUCUAAGAACUUUAACAAGACUAGAAUCCAAGCUUUUCUCAACAUUGAGCUGCUAGAGAAAUGAUUUUAACAAUAAAAGCUGAAACUUUAAAGAAUCUAGUCUAAAGCUGAAACCUUUAAAGAAGCUAAGCAAUUUAACAACUAAGAGAAAUUUAGAAAUAACUUGAGAACGAUUUUAAGAGUUCCAAGAGAGCAACCCGCUCUGAUACCAUGUUGGAUUUGAAGAGACUAAGCUCAUAAGAAAGAGUAAACAAUCACUUGGUGAUUGAAUCUCAGUUUAUCCACACAAAGGGAACUCAUUCUCAAGAGGAAGAAACCAUCAACUUGUGAUGGAAUCCACACCAAUAUAGCUUGAUAGAACCGAAAUCUCUAUGGAGAGAAUCGAUCCUAGCAAGACAACUAUCUCUAGUAUGAAG
rnacentral:lncRNA from 1 species